rnacentral:lncRNA from 1 species
GAUGCUUCAGUGAUCUCCAGCCCUCGUGAGCUUCUGAGCACUAUAAUACAAGGAAAAAUAAAACGGAGUAAGAAUUACAUGCUUAGUAAGUUCGUAUAACGGAAACUAAACUUACCAAUCUUACUUAUUAAAUCAAGGCAUACAAUGUUAUGUUUCCAUCCAUUUGGCUAAAUUGCCUAAUCAUAUUCAUUCAAUCAAACAUGUUAGUCAUCAAAAUCUUCAUAUAAAUCAAGUAACAUAGAUGAGCUUAUCAAGCAAUAUUCUUUCAAGUCCUUAUCAUUCCAUCUCAAGAUUCUCAUGCCAUGUCAAGAGUUUUAUGUCCGUUGAAUCAUUGAAUUCCAAUAAAUGCUCAAGUAGUACACUCAAAGUGUACGAUUCAAUAACCCGUCAAUUACUUAUUCAAGGGUACCCAUUAGGGCACUUAACCAAGAAACACUCUCUCAAGCCACUUAUCGUAUAACAGGAUUACCAGUCCAGGCUAAAUCCUUUAUAUAACGUAAGCUCAGAGGAGCUCGAUUAGGAUUACCAGUCCAGGCUAAACCCUAAUCAUAACGUAUGCUCGAGAGGUAUUAUAUCGGGAUUACUCGUCCGGCUAAAUCUUUUAUAUAACAAGGUCAAUGAGAUUACUCGUUCGAGUUAAAUCCCAUCCACAACAAAUGCAAGACCGUAUUAGUUUCAGGAAAGCACAUAUAAUCAUCGGAAUUCAACAUUCAAUCGGGAUUUAACCCUUUAUCACCAUUUCAAGCAUUUACCAAAAUUUCCAUCAUAGUAUACAAGUAAACCACAUCAAUGUAAAUCACAUUACAUACAAACACAACAUUCAAUUAACAUCAUUGCAUGUUCGAUUAAGUUACACGAACUUACUUUGACACUUGUUCGCGUAAAAGUCAUACUAAUCCGAAAUCUUUUCUUUUCCUCAGUCUAACCUCAAAUUAGUGUUUUCCAGAUCUAUAUAAAUGAAUUUAACCAUCAAUUUCAUACAUUUUAUAUUUAAAUGGACUCAACUUAUGUCCUAGGAAAAAUUACCAUUUUGCCCCUAACUUUUUCAUAAAUUCUGAUUUUGUUCCUAAGCCCGAAAAAUGAAACUUGUGCAAAUUACUCCCUAUUCCAAGUCUAACCAAAGCCCUAUUACAAAUUUUACAGCAUAUGUAUCCAUAAAAUUUUAGAAUUUUUCAUCAAAUUUUACAACUUUUCAUUUUAGUCCUUAAAUCAUGUUUUCAUCAAAAAUCACUUUAUAAAAGUUAUUUAUCUAUCAAUAAUCUUUCAUUUUCUACCAUAAAUUUCUAUUUUCCACCAUAUACAUUCAUGACCAAUUUUCAUACCUUGAUAACUUUUCAAAUUAAUCCCUCAAAUAGAGAGAUUAAGCUAUCUCGGUUUUAAAAAUACCAAAAUUACUAAUAACGGGACAAGAGAACUUACGCAAUUAGGCCUUGAAAGUUUCUUUUCUCUCUCCUAGGGUUUCCAUGUGCUUUAGGUUGAAGAUGAUAUAAAAUAAGAUGAUUUCUUUUAUCAUCUUUUUAAUUAAAUUAAGUAUUAUGCUAUUUCCAAUUUAGUCCUUACCUCUUUUCUAUAAUUCCAUGGAUGAGUCACCAAGAAAAAUCUACAUACCUUUCUUCAUGGUCUAAUUACCAUAUAAUGACCUUAAGUUUUAAAUUCCAUAGCUUUUUAAUCCUUAUAGCUACUAGAAUUCAACUUUCGCAUUUUAUGCAAUUUAGUCCUUCUCAUAAUUAAGCACUCAAUCGAUAAAGUUUUCGUAUCAAAAUUUUCACUCGAAAUAUCUACCAUAUUAAGGAACAUAUAGUAAAAUAAAAAUAAAUCAUAUUUUUGGGUCAUAUUUGUGGUCCAGAGACCACUAUUCCUAUUUCACUGAAAAAUGGGUUGUUACAACAUAAGUAGACACACGGGUGUGUGUCUUGACCGUGUGUGACACACGGACUAGCACAUGGGCGUGUGGUUUGGCCGUGUCUCCUCUGCAUCUUAAAUUUGAGAAACAGAAUGCUUAGAAUUGAGCACAUCGGUGUGUGUCUCAACCGUGUGUACUACACGGCCUAGAACACGGGCAUGUGUCUUGGCCAUGUGAAACCUGCACUUAAUUUUGAAAAUUUUAAUUAACCACAUAACCUAGCACACAGACGUGUGGCUGGCCGUGUUUAAAACAUUUCCUUCAACACGAGCAUGUCCUAGGGUCACACGGACAUGUCCCCUGGACCACACGGGCGUGUGUACCCUACAUCUAGGAAAAUUUUAGAAAUUUUGCGAAAAAUUUUUUGAGUUCCCAAUUUAGUCCCGACUCGAUUCUAAUACUCAUAUUAGGCCUCAAGGGUCCAUUUGAGGGACGUUAUGAAUAAUCUUGUAAAAUAAAUAGUAAUUAUCAUGAAUUAUCUGUAAAUGUUAUAAAAAAAUCCACUAAUGCUCCGUAACCUUGUUCCAGCGACAGACAUGGGUUAGGGGUGUUAUAGAGAUGAUAUUCCAAAAACUACAUUUUUCAUGCGUUACGGACAUUACGAAUUUUUGGUAAUGCCUUUUAGUUUAACCAAUGCACCAGCAGUAUUCAUGGACCUGAUGAGCAAAGUAUUCUAGCCUUACUUUUGUUGUUGUGUCAUUAUCUUCAUUGACGAUAUUUUGGUUUACUCAAAGAAUGAGGCGAACCACAAGGAAUACUUGCGGAUAGUUUUAAGUGUUCUUCAGAAAAAUAAAUUAUACACCAAAUUCAACAAGUGCAAAUUUUGGCUAAAAGAAGUCCAUUUCUUAGGCUAUGUCAUCUCCAUAGAAGGAAUCAAGGUAGAUUCUAUGAAGAUCUGUGCUAUUCUUGAAUGGAAUCAGCUAAAAAGCAUUAUUAAGGUACGCAAUUUCCUUAGCCUGUAGGGUUAUUAUAGAAAGCCUGUGUAGGGGUUCUUAAUGAUGGAAAUGCCAUUAACCCGGUUGUUAAGGAAAGAUGAAAAGUUCUAUUGGUCUAAAGAAUGUCAGCAUAGUUUUGAUGAGCUGAAGAAAGCAUUGAUUGAAGCCCUAGUGUUGAGUUAGCCAAAACUGAGAGUAGAAUAUGACGUGUUUACUGAUGCAUCCUUGAAUGAGUUAGAGUGCAUACUUAUGCAAAAGGGGAAGGCGAUUGCGUAUGUGUCAUGCUAGCUCAAGCCUCAUGAGAAGAAUUACCAGACUUAUGACUUGGAAUCGGCAACUGUAGUGCUGGCCUUAAAGAUUUGGAGGCAUUAUCUUUAUAGGGAGAAAUGUCACAUACCACAAGAUCUUAUAGUAUCUACUCACUCAGAAGGAGCUGAACCUAUGCUAAUGUGGUGGUAGAUGCAUUAAGCAGGAAAAUUGUAUCGACUCUGGCUUCUUUAAAAGUGAGAGUGUGUCUAGUUGAUGAUGGGUCAAUUCUCGCUAAAUUGAGAGCGCGACCAAUAUUCCUUUCCUAGAUAUUGGAGUUGCAACUCACGGAUGAAUGAUCUAAUGAGAUAAAGGAAUGAAUGAUGACUGGUGAUGCUAAGAAUUUCAGCCUAGGAAGUGAAGGAGAAUUACUCUUCAUGGGAAGACUAUAUGUUCCCAAUGAAGAAGAUCUAACGUAGGAGAUUAUGAAAGAAGCUCACUAGGGACCAUAUUCCCUUCAUCUAGGAAGUGUAAAGAUGUAUCAAAAUAUGAGGAAUUUAUUUUGGUGAUUAGGAAUGAAAAGUGAAAUAUCAGAGUUUGUAAUGAAGUGCUUAACCUGCCAGAGGGUCAAGGCUAAACAUCAGGUUUCUUUUGGUAAAUUGUACUUGCUUGAGAUCCUAAAAUGGAAGUAGGACAGGAUCAGGAUGGACUUUGUGUUGGGGUUGCCUUUCAAUGCAACUAAGAAGAAUGUUGUUUGGGUAAUUGUGGAUCUAUUAACAAAGUCAACUCACUUUGUCGCAGUGCGAACAAACUACUCAUUGGAAAAGUUAGCAAAAUUACACAUUUCAGAAAUAGUUCGUCUGUACGGUAUUCCUUCUUCAAUUGUGUCUAAUCAAGACCCUAGAUUCAUUUCAAGGUUUUGGAAGCAAUUACAGAUAUAUCUUGAAACCAAGCUUUGGUUCAGUAUUGUCUUCCAUCCACAGACUGAUUGAUAGUCAGAGAGGGUGAUCCAAGUGCUGAAGAUAUGUUCAGAAGUUGCAUGAUUGAUUUUGGGUUGAAUUGGUAGAAAUAUCUACCCUUGGUGGAGUCUACCUAACAAUAGUUAUCACGCUAGUUUGGGCAUGUCACCUUUUGAGGCACUGUAUGAAAGUGGAAACACAAAAAUAUAUAAACUUUUUCAGCACCUGUUGAGCCCUAAUUCAUGCAGUUUCGUAUUAAAUUUUGUCAAAAUUCAUACUUUAAUUAUAAAAUAAUUAAUUUUCACUUAAACUAUUAAUUUAUUGAAUUUUAAUUAUUUUUAUAAUAAAUUUUCAAAAAUUUGGUUUAUUUUUGACAGUUUUGCAUAAAAGGUAAAAAUUGGCUCGGCAGACACCUCAGAAGGCUUGAACCGUUGGAGAAAUUUUUGCAUCGAGUGAACCAAGAGCAAGGUUGAAUAUUUUUUCAGCAAAGGAUAGUCCAAAUGAUGAUUAUUUUAUGCACUUUACAUUUUUUUAUCCAAAUUUAAUUGGGUUAAAAAUUAAUAUAAAGCCUGAAGGACAAAAUGGCCCAAUUGUGUUAAUAAAAUAAGACUGAUCCAACAAGAGAAAUGGAAGCCCAAAAGCAUCCAACAAGCUGACCCAAUCAGCUGAAUUUUUCUGAUUUUUAUGCUUUCAAAACAACCCUCAAAGUUUCCUUAAACUCCAUUCAAACCCCUCCACUUUUUUGUGCCUUUGAAAAUUUGCCUUUAACUUAAAAUAGCAAGUUUGAAAUAUUCAAACUUUCUUGUUGUACGGCCGGACAAGGAGGAGUGUGUGGCUGCUAAUAAUUUUCUAUUUUUAGCAGCCACUCCCACCUAUAAAUACCCCCUUUGCUACUUCAUUCAACACACCUUCAUUCCUACACAUCUCUCUCUCUCUUUCACUUAACUUCUUCUCAUUGUUUUUCCCUUUUUCUUGUCCAAUUUCCUUGCAGAUUUUCCUUUUGAAAAAGAGCCUUCUUCCACCUUGGAAUAACAUCUUUCAAUUGUUCAUAGAGGCUUCAGUUCAACAAAACAAGCAGAGAAGAAAAGAAACGCACUAGUCUGACUUUAGAGAUAUAUUGGAUUUGCUUUCUAGUUCUCUUCUCUUUAAUUUUCUUGUUUAUGCUGAGAUUAUGAAUAUGAGGGAUUGUUUUGUUAUUUUUAUUUUACUAAUUAAAAUGGUUUAAAUUAAUUUUUGUUAGAUUGAUUACAUUCUGUCCACUCGAAUUAUUAAAAUCAUGUUUGUAUUGUUAUAGGCAUUGGUGAGUUGUUCAAUUAAAUGAAACUAUGCUUAUGUUAUACUUGCAUUAUAAAAUGUAAGGUAACGAAUGAAUUAAUUAUUAAACCUAUUGAAAUUAUAAUUAAUUGACACAAUAUUUAAUUGGUGCAUGUUUAAUCUUUUAAGGUAGCUGAAGGUUAAAUUAGCGACGGCUUGCAAGAUUAUUGUGAUUAAAUUGUUUCAAUAUAGAAAUAUGUUGUUACCUCACUUAAUCUUUUAUAUGCUUACGAAGAUUGAUUAAUUGUUUGAAUUGCCAUUGAAAAAUGUUCAAAAGAUCAGUUAAUUUAGUAAGUACGUAUGAGCAGUAGUUAGCAAAUUACCAAGUUGCCGUGAAAAUAUUCGUAACAACAUGAACAUGGGUUUAGUAAUUCUAAGUUAAGGAAUGUAAUUGAUCUAACACAAUAAUGUCAUCUUGAUUAAAAUCAUAUUUUGAAAUCGUGCAUUGAAAUUUUUAUUUCUAUUUUAUUUUACUUAGUUAAAUUUUAGUUUUUAAUCACUUCCUCAAAAUCAAAAUAUUUUUAAACGCCAAAGUGUUUGAUUUACAUUUCAUAAAUAUUUUUCUUUCCCAGCCCCUGUGGGUACGAUAACUCGACAUUUACUUGUCACUUUAUUACUUGUUGUGAUUGUGUACACUUACACAUUUCCGUCGUUCCAAGUUUUUUACGCCAUUGUCGAGGACUAUUUUAAAAGUAAUUAUUUGUGAAAUUGUUAAUUUUGCAUUUUGGUUUCUUUUUCUAUUUAAUUUUAAUUCCAUUACUUUUCUAUGAUUGUUUUAGGUGUUUAUGAGUAUUGGUCAAAUUAUCGAUUUACUCCCCGUAGAUCCUGAAAUUGAAAGAAUUUUUUGACAAAGAAGUAGAUAAGCAAGUCAAAUAAGGACCAAAAUUUUGAGAACAAAAUUUUUUAAAAGGUGGGAGAGUUUUCACAACCUAGUUGGUGAGUUGGCCCCGCUUGGGAAACUACCCUAGUGAUAAUCGCCUAAGUUGCGAGGCUUAGACAGGAUAUGGAGGCUAACCUUGUGGCGAAAUGCUUCUUAACACUUCGCCAAUACAGUAGAGUUCCACUUCACGGUGUGGCGAGUUCCUGAUUGUGGUACGAACCUUAUAAGGCGAACUUUCCCUGUAACAUCCCUAAAUAGGGCCUAGUUAGAAUAGUAGUUUUGAGACCACAAAUCUGACAUCAAAAUAUUUAUUUUAUGAUUAUUAUUAGGCCUAGAAUACGAAUAUAUGCAUGUGUUAAAGUUUCAUGAAGAAAUUCUAAGUAAGGUGUCCAAUUGGAAAUUUGGGACUAAAUUGAAUAAAUUACAAAACUGGGAUCCUAGAAUCAAUUUGUUUGAAAUUGUUUUAGAUUAUGAAUUAGAAGGUCUUGGAGAGUAAUUUUCCCAAAUUCUAAAUUUUUGGACAAAAAUGGGCUUGUAUGGAUGAAAUUUUAAAGAAAGGGCAUGAGGACAUUUUGGUCAUUUGGCUUUUUAAUGAAAUAAAAAAAGGAAAAUGGAGCAAAAAUAUGCUCAUCUUCUUCCAUAGCUGUCAAAAUUUGGAGGACACCAUAGCUAGGGUUUCUUCAAUUUUCAAGCUCAAUAGUAAGUGCUCCCAAGCCCCGUUUUUCAUGUUCUCUGUAUUUUUAAAAUCCCGGUAGCUUGCUCUUUCCAUUUCUACCCAUAUUUCAUGCUAGGGUUUAUGCUCAAAAAUUUACCCAUGCAUGAGUUAUUGGUAUUUUGAUGGAUUAUAGAGAAAUAUGAAAGAUAAAUGUGUGUUAAACAUCUUUUCCAAGUUGGUUUUCAUGAGAAACCCUUAUAGGGACUAUUUUGCAAAAGAUGUAAAUGUGUGGUAGAAAUGAGGAAAAUAAUAAAAAAUGUGGGUUGCCAUAAGAGAGAAAAAUGUUCGGUUAGGCUUGGGUAAGAUAGAAAUUACAUGUGUUCCAUUAUACGAGCCUAGAGACUAAAUCGUAAAAAUGUCGAAGGUUAUGGGCAAAACAGUCAUUCAAAUUGGGGGUAGAUAUUAAGCUUGAAAUGUAUAAUGUGGGGUAUUAAUAUAAAUUUUGCUGUUAUAGACCCCGAGGAACAAAUUUUGGAGGUCGAUUGUGGUAAACGUAAGGUUUCGGGAUAACCGAAACACAAUCCCGAAAAGAAUUCCAGGUAAGUUCGGAUAACUUAAAGUAAACCCCUAGUAUGCAUAAUUGAAUGAUUUAUGGAUGCAUGAUGAUUGCAUUUAUUAUUAGUAUAAAACAUCAUUGAAAUGCAUAUUUGAUGGUAACAUGUGAAAGAUGUCUCGGUUGAGGUUGAUAAAGGAGAUUGGAUGGAUAAACCCUGAUUGAUAUGUGUAACGAGAUCCUACAUGUGUUGCAGUAAGGAUUUAUCCUAGACGGGUAAUCCGUUGAUCUCAAUUAUGAAAAGGAUCUAGCCCGAACGGGUGUUCCUUGAAUGAUCGAGCCUCCCAAAGAAUAUAUGUGCAUUACAGAUUUAGCCCAGACGAGAAAUCUGAAUUGGGUCUAAAUUUAGCCUGGACUGGUAAUUUAGAUCCGAGCUCAUUAAGGGUGUUUGUCGCUAUAAAAGAUUUAGCCUGGACUGAUAAUUCCGACAUCACCUUACGAGUUCAUAUAAUGGGGGAUUUAGCCUGGACUGGUAAUCCCGCCAUAUGAUGUAAGGUUCGCGGGAGUGCAUAUAUGGAAUGAUCAUUCGUAUGAAUUGCUGGAUAACGGGUAUUCCAUUGAGAUUUCCUAGAAACUCAACGAGAUUAACAUGGGAUAUAUAUAUGAAUGAAAUGUUGAAUGAUGAGCUCAUCUAGUUAAAUUACAUGAUACAUGAUUAUGUAACUAACUCAGUGAUUGAGUACAUGUGAUAUGAAAUCAUUUCAUAAUGGAUGAUUUCAUGAAUUAAGUAUGGAUGUAUGCUAAUUACUCGGUAAGUUUACUUUCCGAUUAUUCGAGCUUACUAAGCAUGAAAAUGCUUACCCCCUCUCUUUUCCCUGUUUUACAGAGCUCGAGGACUCAUAAGGAUUGGAAGACAGUUGAAGAAGCAACACACUAUCAACUAGUCAAGCUUUGGUAUAAAGACACUUCUAUUUUGUUAAUGCAUAUAUAGGGCUUUGAGAAUUUUUUUCAUAUGUGUCAUUUGAAUUGCCAAAUGAAGGCAUGUAAAGAUGCAUUCAUCUUUUUGUAUAAGGCCAUGGAAAUUGGCAUAUUUGAAAGUAGGCUAUGACCUGCCUUUAUAUGCAUGUUUAUGAUCCAUUAUGAUGGGUUGCUACAGGUGGCAAUGAGUUCAAAAAUGAGCCAAAUUUUGAAUGUGCUACAAUAACAUAAGAACCCAUAAAUACUAGAUGGGAAAUGACCUUUUUGUAUGAAACCAAUGAUAUGAGGUUUUCAUACAACUAACUUCAUCAAGAUCAUUUAUAAGUGUAUAUUCAUGUUUUACUUUGAAUUUGGUAUAUUUUAAGAAAAAGAAGAAGAAAGGGGUGACUAAAGGCUUGGAAAAUAGCCUAUUAAAAUGCACAUGGUCAGACACACGGGCGUGUGUCUAGACCGUGUGUGACACACAGCUCAUCCCCAUGAGCGUGUGGUAUGGCCGUCUGUCCUUUGCACCUAAAACUUUAAGUCAAAUUAGUACACAGGUAGGACACACGGGCGUGUGUCUGGGUCGUGUUAAUUUAACAGAAUGCUCAAGUUUUGGACACAGGGUGAGCCCACGGGCGUGUGCCUUGGUCGUGUCUAAAAGUCAGUGUUGCCCACGGGUUAAAGGCAUGGACGUGCCCUAGACCAUAUGGGUGUGGGUGAUCACACGACCCCUCAUACACGGGCGUGUGACACUUCUAAAUGAGGAAAUUUUCUAAAGUUAUGGAAUAUUCCCGGUCCUAUCCCAAAUCAUCUCUAGGUAUAUUAGGGCCUUGAAGGCCCAUUUAAGGGACGAGAUGUGAAUGCUUGUAAGUUUCAAUUCUGAGCUAAACUUGAUGAGUCGGUUCAGUGUGUUUUAAAUGAAAAGUUUCGGUAAUGCCUCGAACCCUAUCCCGAUGUCGGAUACGGGUGAGGGGUGUUACAUUCUCGCUAAUAAGGUCGCGACCUGUAUUUUUGUGUCACUAUUAAAGUAAGCAUGUUAGCUUGUGGACACAUUUACGUCAUCUAGCAUCUUAGUAGAGGCAACAUGUUAGUAAUUAAGACACUUGGAGAGCCUCGUAGGAUGUGAUUAUUAGUGGAAGCGUGUGAGAGUGAGUAAUGAUUAGAGAUAAUCCUGAUUGGGAUUUGGACAUGAGCUAUCUAUAAAUAAGAUAGCAUGAUAGGGAAGAGAAGAUUUUUUUAUUCAUUUUCUCUGCUAGACAUUGUUAUCAUUGAAGAAACCAGGAGAGUUCUUAUUUGCUAACGAAGGUGUUGACUAUUAAAGCCUAUGAGAUCUUCUAUACCAGUUGUCUGUUGGUAAAUUUUUAAACAUUCUUUUAAGCUUUACCAGAUAGAUAGAAGCUAAUGUAAGAGAGGUUCAAUAAAAUUUCUUUGAAUACUAGAUAUGAAAGAAACUUCUAUCUAGAAAUUUUUUGCAUGUCUACAGAUUCUUGCUAUAUUGUAAAGUUGUUUUUUUUAAAGAAGUUGUUUUAUUGUUUUAACUAAAGAAAUGGGAGAAGGUCUCAGUAUUAAAGGGAAGGAACCAACAGAGUAGACAAAGCUCUAAGUAAAGUAUUCUAGUGAGUUCCUUUGCACCUUGUGUCUUGUAUUUGUAUCAUUUUAUUUAAUCCUUAUCACUGUACAACCAAGUGGCUUUUCCCUUUGUCUCGAGUGCUCAUGUCUAAGGAAACAUAUUCAAAGAGUCAUUGUAUACAAGGUUAUAUAUGGUUAAACAGACCUAAAAAACUUGGCAUAUACAUGGUAUGCGUACUCCUUCAUUGGUACACAAGCUACAUAUCCAGACAGGUGUAAUGCAGCAACAAAGGGAUGUUGUGUACAAUGAUAAAAAGAAGACACGUGAUAAAAUGUUUUGCCUCUAAUAUGACACUUUGGUGCAAACCAUGAUUGGUGAAAACCCGACACAUAUGUGUUUAAACAAAGAGGGAAUUUAAGGGGAUACUGAGGUGAUGUUUUUUAAAUAGCUCUAAUGAAUGGAUAUGAAGAUACAUGAAGAAUUAGUUUUUUGGAAGAAGGAUCAGAAGCUAGCAUAAGGAACAGAGUACGUGAGAAAAAGGGUACAUAUGAUAGUACUCAUUGCUUAAAAAGAAAAAUAAGUUUGUCUUUCAUAAAAAGGGUAGUCACACAUAUGGCGUAUCCACGGAGCAAUUGUGCUCAUGGCUAUCAUGUAUGAGUUUAGAAACCAGUGUUGUCCUUCGGAAGGCUAAGUUUGAUCAUGGUAGUAUUCACUAGUUGAUCUAUGGAUCAGAAGGAUGUAUCUGCCAAAUAUGUUGAACUAGUUUAUCAAUUUGAGCCCUAUUCCUUAAUGUCUUAUAGUAAUAUUAACGAAUUUUAUUUCCCCAUGAACUCACUAAGUUGUCAUGAACUUACCCAGUUUCUUCUUACUUUCAAGUUCUUAAGUUGAGUGUGGUGAUUGAUGGGAUACGACCAGAUCUACGACUAGUUGUGAGCCUUUUUUUUUCAUAAAACAUGUAUUUUUUUAGAGUACUAGGACGUUUUUGGAUUCCGUCAUUUUUAAAACCAUUAAUUUGUACUUGAAACGUUAUUUUGAAUACUUUGAAUAUUAAUCAUUAGCCUAGUUGGCUUAUCUUUAUUUUCAAUUUAUAAAUGUUGUUAAGCAGUCACCAAAGGCUAUUUCUUGUACCUUUAAACCCUUAAGUGCGGCGGGGUACCAUUUUAAAAAUUUUCUUUCAAAUAAAUUGAUGUGAUUCCUAACCUCGAAGUCAAGACUAAUCUUUUCAAUUUAAGGAAUAAUGAAUGAGGUUUUUGUUUUCAAGGUCCAACCUCUGAUGGAACGCCCAAGUCUACAUUUGUUCGAGAGUUAAGCGGGUCUUAGCUUUAAUAUAGCUAAGGUUCUUUAGCUACAACUACUACGGGUCGAGGUUUCCAUCUAUUGAACCAUUUCAAGACUAUCUAUCCCGUUCAAGAUAUUUUCCAAACUAUCCAAGUUCGGGAAAUCGCAUCAUAAAUUUAUUCUUAAAUUAACAGUAUAUCGUACUAGAAAAAAGGGUACUCGCCAAAAUGGAUAGUUAUUUUGAAAAGGGAGAGUUUUGUGUUUCCAACGAGUCGACCUAUGGCGCUCCAUACCCGAAUCCAGCAAUCAGGUCAGGCAUAGGGUGUUACAUGUGUCAUGUCAACAUAAAAUGCACUUGGAUUGUCACACAGGUUAUUAUAUCAACAAAGUUAAAAAAGAUAAUGUUUGUGUCAGCAUUUUCAUUAAAAAAAGAUUUGACUCUUUUAGAAAAUUUAAUAAUCAAAUUUAGCUAAAAAGGAACAAUGGCCAAAUUGACAAAAAAAAUGUAAAUAUUGAAGGUUAAAUUUGACAUUAUGCUAAAAAAAAUUGACGGAAUGACCUAAUUAGAAUAAUAUUAAUAAAUUUGAAGAGUCAAUUAAAAUAUUUUAAAAUUUGAUAUAUAGUUUCAAAAUGUUUGGUGCAAUUAACCCUUUUAUAUAAGGGUAAUAUAAUUUUUGGCCUAUGAACUUGGCAACUAGGUUCACUUUAGUAUUUGUAUUUCUUUUAUCCACUUUGGCACUUGAAAAAUAUUAAAGUUUGUUAAUAUGGCACUCUAGAAUUGUGCCACUUCUUUACUUGAAAAGUUCUUAAAUUUCUAGUGAUGAUGUGGUAUAAUAUCUAAAUGUCAGAUUUAGUAUUUUUAUAAUCAUAUCGAUGAUUGAAUAGGUAGACUAUCAAUUAUCGUUUCAACUAGUUUGAUUGAUUUAACCAUUGGACUAAUAAUAAUUAAAUAAAUAAUUAAAAAGUUACAAAUAUCUAAAAAUUAAAAAAAAUAUUAAAUUGGUUAUACUUGUUCAACUAUCGACUUUUAUCCCAAUUUUAAUUUUUACCAAUUUUAAGCAGUUCUUGAGUCAAUCGGUUCAAUCCCUUUGUUUGUACCAUUACAUUGAUCAAUUUUUGGUCCAUCAGAUCCUAUUUUGUUCCAGUAGCACUGGCCAUAUCACCAAAUCUUAACAAAAUCCAUAUUAAGGGACCGAAAUUGAUUUAAUUGCUAAGUUCAAGGAACAAAGUGGAAAAAAAAAUUACAUGUACCAAAAUGGAUAUAAUUCCCAAGUUCAGGGGCCAAAAUUUAUUUUGUGUAAAAUUAACAUGAUUUUAUACCCAUUCAUAACUUUUUUUACAAUUGAUAUUUUAACAAUUUAAUCGUUAAAUUUAUUAAUAUAAUUGUACUUGCUAUGCAUGUAAAACUUCGAAUCAAUAUAAAAUCUCUAUCAUAUCAAUUUAAAAUAUUGAUUGUAUUAAUAUAUUUAACAGUUGACUUUUUUAUGUAAAAAAAUAAUUAAAAUUUUUUUUAUAUCAAACUUGACAUGUAAAAUCUACAUGAAUAAAACAUUAAAAAUGACGAUUAAAUUAUUAAAAUAUAAAUCAUAAAAAAUAUAAAAUAUAAAAUUAUAUUAAUUUUAUAUCGAUUUAAAUAAAAUUGUUCUAUAUAUUUAUUGAGGUUGAUAGGUGGUUAUCCGACAAGCUAGCGGGUCCUAGUAUGACUCACUCCAUAAUAUUAGGACGAACCUAAAGAAAAAUUACUAAAGUUGUGGGCCAAAAUUCACGUAAGAGAUCCUUAUAACAAUUAGAAUGUAGGUAUGGACAAAUAAAUUUGACAUUUUAUGUAUAUUAAAAAAUUUUCGUGUUUUAAUUAUUAAAUUAUGGUAUCUUUCUUUAUUGAGUGAAAAAAAAUAAUCUAUAUUUAUAAAAUCAGUAUGUUAAAAUUUUGGUUGAAAUGUAAAAUCAAAAUAUUAAAGUGAUUAUUUUCCCACAUUCAAGUCGUGGUAAUUUUUUAAAUUUAUUUUGAAAAAAAAAAAAGAAUAGCAACAUUACCAUAGUUAAAUUUAUGGCUUUAUAAAAACAAAAUCUUACUUUAACAAAUUUUCAAUUGAGUUGAUAUUUAAUUAAUUUGUUACAUCUGUUCAAGAAUUUAAAUAUUUAUACUAUAUUUAAACAUUGAUUAAGUUAGUGCCGUCAUUCAACUCCCUAAAAAGAAAUUUCAAAAAAAAAAAACUAAAUUAGGUAUGAUAUCAAAUUUUAUCAUUAUUAUUUUAGACAAAUCUAUUAUUUUUAGGGUAAAUUAUAUCUAAUGUCACUCAACUUCAAAAGGUUACAAAAUGGUCAUUAAACUAUUCGAAAGUUUUUAUUUAAAUCAUUAGGAUACUAAAAUUGCUUAUACAUGACCUUUUUUCUUUUUUUUCUUUUUUGCAUCACUUGCACCAAUUGAAAACUCUCUUUCCUUUUCUCUUUUACAGUUUAAUUCUUUUUCAUUAAACAAUUUUGAACGUCACGAAUCUGUAAAUCAAAAUCAAAAUAACUUUCUUCUCCGAUCUCUGAGAUUGACUACCAUACUGAUCAUCAAAUCAAAGCAUCAUCGCUUAGAGCUCGCUACUUGAAUUUAAAAAGAAAAACUUAACAACCAAGUGAAAUAAAAACUUUCGAAUACUUUAACAACUAUUUUAUAACUUUCUAAAGUUAAUUAACUAAAACGUAAAUUUACUAACAAUUUAAUGACAUUAAAUAUAAUUUACCUUAAAAAUUGUAAUUUUACCUUUCUUACAAAAAUAUGAUUAAUUUUAAUAAAUAUUAUUUUCCACCCUCUGCAAUAAAACUGUAGUUUUAUAUUAAUAAUUUUUUUUAAUUUGAUAAUUUCCUAUAUUUUAUAUUAUGUUUAUACUAAUCUAUAGAGUAGCACAAAAACUUUCACAAUGGAUCUUAUUCUUCUUCUUUUUACAUGAGAACAAUGGGUCCCUUUAUUUUUAUUUUUUUAGAUUAUAAGAAUAGUUGGAUUUCAAUUUGACCCUUAUAUUUCACUUGACAUUCAAUUUAUAUAUUUUAAUUUUAAUAUAAUUUAGUCCCUCAACUUUUAUAACAUCAUUAAUUAGUCUGAAAAUUAUAUUCUAACUAACAUGUAUGAAUUUUUAAGAAUUAUUAGCACCUUUAAAAUUCAUUAUCAAAUUCAAGUCCGUUACAAUAUUAUUUUUUUGUUAUAUUGAAUAUUAAGUGAGUUUUUUUAAUUUCAAAAUAUCAUAUUCUAAAAAUAAAAUUAUGUAUAUUAAAUUUAAAACAUAGGAAGAGUAAAGUGUAACAUUUUAAUUAUUACUCUAUAAUUUAAUUAAAAAAUAAUUAAUUAACUCGGGAACUCUUUAAUUAAUAUGAUAUUUUUCUUAAUUUUUUUACCAUUUUCAAAAUGGUUGGGGAUAAGACUUUAAGAAUUGAAAAUUGAAGGUUCAAAAAUUGAAUUUGCAAAGCAAGUACGUAAGCAAAUAUAAUAAUUAGAAAAAAGAAGACGACGACGAAACAAGGCGAAGCAAACCAGAUACAUUGAACCUGGACACUUUGGGUUGGAGCGUCGUAGGCCUAUAAGAGAAUCUAUCCCUCCCCAUUGUUUGAUCCACAACUCCACUAUUCUCCACCAAUAGAAGAAAAAAGAACAGCAGGCUAUCACAUGGCUCCAACAAUGGCGGCAACAGAGGAAGAUCUGAGGAAGAGGAACCAGGAGUUAGAGAAGGAAUUGAAGGAGAGUAGGGAAAGAGAGGAGCAGAUGAGAAAGGAAUUACGAAAGAUGUGGGAAAGGCUGAGGGUCGCGGAAGAGGCGGAGGAAAGGCUCUGUUCUCAGCUGGGUGAGCUGGAAGCAGAGUCCGUCAAUCAGGCCCGUGCUUACAACGCCCAAAUACUUUCCCUCAUGGACCAGCUCUCCAAGGGUAGCAACCUUCUCAUCAACAACCACCCAUCCCCUGCAUCCAUCUCCAUCCUCUGAUUUUGCUUUUGGCUGGUGUUUUUUUUAUCUAUCUAACCGAAGGCACGGGGCUUCUAAAUCCGUUAAUUUUGGGUAUGGUAUGGAUCCGUACAUAGUAUUUGUUCUAAUUUUUGGUUUUAAUUGGAGAAAGUUAUGCCGAGAGGCAGUGGCGGAUAUGCCUCAGUUUUCUAGCUGUUUCGAAUUGUGAAACUCAAACAAGCAAACGUUGGGCCGCGUAAAAUCAUAAUUCUUGUUCAUCUUGUAUUAUUGUAAACGAGUUGCGUUUGUAUUAUGGAAAAAUAUUUAUUGGAAACUUUAUUUUUUUUUAAUGUUGUGUUUAUUUAAUGGACAAUAAUUUGAUUAACGGCUAACAAGUCAAUUUUUGAAAAAAAAAACUUAAUUAUGAAUAAUUAUAUUUUUAUAUAAAAUUUAAUUUAAUUUAAAUUUAACAUUAUUAUAUUAAUAAUAAAUUUUUAUUUUUAAAAAAAUUUAGAAUUAUAAAAUAUUAUAAUUUCAAUAUUUAAUAAUAUAAAUAAUAUUGAUUGUUUUAACAAUUUCAAUAUUAUUACAUAAUUUAUUAAAACAUUUCGUAUGUCAUGCUAAGAUAGGACUAUUAUCUUAGAAACUCAUCUUAUGGAAGUUAGAUUUCAGGGCGACAAUACUUAAUACGGUCACAGGUCGAAGUCUAAAUGGAGGUCCUAGUUGAUAGCUGUGGUGUGGUCAUAGGUUUGAGUAUAACGGGGGACUAGUUGACAAUCGUUAUGCGGUCGCGAGUUCAAGUUUUUUAGAUACCUAUAAAUGAUGCCUUAUAUAUACCAUGUAACACCCCUUACCUAGUCCAAUCACCAGACCCGAGCACUAGGAUGCUAUAACUAAAUACCAAACAAUUACAAACAAAUUAUAAUUUUUAAAAUCUCAAUUAAUUAUUAAAUAAAUCAUAAUUAAUUAAAUUAGCAUGUGAUUUAAUUAAUUACAGGUUAAUAUCGAGCUUACAGGAGGGUAAAACUAAACAGGCAAUCAUUUUAGAUCAAUUUGAAAUAAAUUUAAAAAGAUAAGAAAAAUCGGAAAACAAGGAUCGGACAACCGUGUCCUCUAACUGUGUGCGAAAGCUCAGCCCGUGUGGGAUGAACCAUACAAUUGUGUCACUAAAUCGUGUACAAGAGUUGUGCCUGUGUGAGAUAGGCUACAUGGCCAUGUGAAUAGGUCAAAUGGCCAUGUGGAUAGGUCAGACGGUCGUGUUAGUAACUCAUGUAACUCCCUGUGCCCAUGUGCACCAAAAUCAAUUAAAAAUUUAUAGACCACACAGUCGUGUUACGAGCAAUUUAAGCAAUUUACCCAUGUAACACUUAUGCCAUAAGCUAUCCUUUAAGCCAUAUUUUAACCUAUUCAAAAGCAUUUAAUUCAAAACAAAAAUCAUCAUUUUCAGCAACCAUACUAAAUGCCUAACCAAUAUGCCACAAUUGACACCUCAAUCAACAAUUCAAAACUAGCCAAAUGAUCAUAUUCAUUAAUCCCAAUAGACUUUCAAUGGGACAUCAAAUAUUAAAGCCAAUAAUAAACACUUUUAACCUUAUAGCCAUUCCACUCUUGAUUAUCAUUUUAGCUUAAUAACCUUCAUGGGCGUCGAAACCACCAAAUAUAAUUUCAUACGCUUUAACUUAAUUAAAUAGUAGUAUAGAGUAGUAGGGUUGAUCCUACAGGGACUGAGACUUUUAAUUUUCCUAUUUAAAUAACUAAAUUCCUAAGUCUAAACAGUUUUCAUGCCCACAACCUGUACAUUGUAGAGCUGAAAAAAAAUAAAAUGGAGAUUUUAGUUAAUAAAAGAAAAAAAUAAAAAUAAAAAAACAAAUAUAACGUAACAGCCCAUUUUCAGUGGUGCCAGAAAUAGUGGUUUCGCGACCAUAAUUUUGAUGAAUGAAUUAUUAUUUUAUUAUUUAUUUAAUUUCUACAGGAUUAUAUUAAGGUCGUAUUAAAGUUUCGUUAAGAAAUUUUGAAGUUUAAAUGGUUAAUUAAAUGAAAAGAACUAAAUCGUAAAAGGUGUAAAAGUUGAAUUCUAUUAAUUAAAAGGGAAAAUGGUUAUGAAAUCUUAAACUAAUGGACUAAGAUAGUAACUAUACCAUUUAAGGAGUUAGUGGACAAAUAUGGACAUAAAUUUGUUAUUUUGUUAAGUAAAUAACCAAGGUUAAAAUAGUAAUUUAAUAAAUAAAACUUAACCUAAAAUAUAACAAAAUGGUAUCAUCUUCAUUAAAGGUUUUCUCCACCAAAAAUUGAAGAAGAAAAACACCAUUUUAGGGUUUGAAGGUUCGACUAACUUAAGUGCUUCAAUGGUGUGUGAUUUCGAUCCCAUUUUUAAUGAUUUUUAUGUUUUUUCUGAUCGUUUUAGCUUAAUCUAGCUAGCACAGGGGUUAAUUUUAAAAAUUGUUAAAGGUUGAGGGACUUUUCAUGGAUGUUUUUGAAUAGUAUUUCAUGUUAGUUGGUAGAUUAUUAGUUUUGGUUGUAAAAUAAACAUGUUUUGUUAAGUGAUUUUUGAUGAAAUUGCAAUUAGGGAUUAAAUUGUUAAAAAUAAAAGUUCAUGGGUUUUGUAGUGAAUUUUUGGUAAUUAUGGAUUUUUUCAAGGUCCCCUGUAAUAUCUGUUAAGUUGGAUUUAGGCUAAAAUAAGUUAUAUCCAAGUUAUGAGCUUAAGGACUAAAUUGUGAAAAGUUAAAAUGUUAUGGGCAAAUUCAUAAUUUUGCAUAAAUAUGAACUAUGGAUUAAAUUGAAUACUAGAAGUAUUUAAUUUAUUGAAAUUAUCUAUUUAGAUCAAGUUAAACCAUGUUCGGACUUAAAUCAAGGAAAAGUUAAAGCUUCGGAUCAGUGUUCAUUCUACUUCUACACCCUAGUUAUUGAGGUAAGUUCAUAUAAACUAUGAUCGUUUUAAUGAUAGUUAAGUUGACUAUUUGCUAUGUUGUUUUAAAAUAAAUGAAUCUCUAUGAAUAAAUGUAUCUAUGCUAUAAUGAAUUGACAGAUAACGAGUCCCGUUUGAACCUUAAGAAUUCUUAGGAUACAAAUGACAUGUCAUUAGAGAUUUAAUGUUUCGGAUGCUAGUCUUGAAUGUCCUAUCGAUUGCUGAGGUCCUGCAUUUAUUGCAAAUUCUCCAUAGGUUGUGUGAGCAACAUUGUGUAGCUAACAUUCCGACCUACAGCUCAUGUGAGUAGGCCCAUUUUACAGCUUGUGUGAGCAUUAAUGUAAAGGAAAAGUUACGGUUAUAUGGAAAGGCAUACUAUGUGUGAGCAUUCUCGAGUAUCGAUGUAAUUCUACUUGGUUCAACGGGUAAGAAAAGGAAAUGAAAUGGUAAGUAUGCAAAUGGAAUGAAUCAAGAUAUUAUGAUAUCAUUGAUAAGUUAAAUGAUGUAUUUAUAUAUGGUAAUCUACUUAUCUUAUGGUUGAAUUCAUUUCUAUCAUGGACAAGUGUACUAACGUGUGAGUUGAUGAUGUUGUACAGGCUUAUUCUCAACUUAUGGCAUUGAUAAUGAUUUAUGAUUAAUCUAUGAAUUGUAUAAAUGAAAUGGUAAGCUAUGUUUAAGUUUAUAUGAGCUUACUAAGCACUCAUUGCUUACGUAGUUACUUUUCUUUGUUUUAUAGUUAAUUAGAAGCUCGAACGAUUGGAAGCUUGUUAGAAACCUAUUACACUAUCUAACAAUCAAUUUGGUAGUUUUUGAGUAUUUUGGCCAAGGUUAAUAAUGACAUGUAAAGGUUAUUUGUAAUGGUAUUUUGUGAAUGUGUUAAUAGUGAUUUGGUAUGUAUAUGCUUUAAAGUUUAUGCUUUGUUUGGUGAACCUUAACACUUCACCAAGUUAUCCCAUUUUGGUCACAUUCAAAUGCUUGUAUAUAAAGUCUUUAUUGGUAAGUUUGUGGUGAUAUGAAAAUGAACAUAUCUGAAGUUACUUGGUAUUUAAGGGACUAAGUUGGUAUGUUUGGAAAAUGGGAAUAUUGGCAUGUUUUGGUAAAUGAUGAUUGAUACAAUUGUGGUGCCUUUGAAUGGCAUAUUGGUUAGGUGAAUUAGGAUGUUUGAAAUGUCAUGUUUAGAUGUGUUUGAAUGUGAUUUAAAUUCCUUGAAUGUGUGCCCAAAUGAAAUGGUUAGUUAUGAUUGAUUUGGAUUUGAAAUGGCUUGAUUUUAGGUGAAUUUUUGGGUUCACAUGGCUGAUCGUGAUUUUGUGUGAUAAGUUUUAAAUAUUUAUAUUGAAUCGUUCUUGAAACUAACUAUUAUCACGAUGAAGGCAAGUGUACCUAUCAAACAGUAGUAUAGUUUUAGCUAGACCGAAUUGUCGAACCCAAAGGAAGUAAAAGUACUAGUAAUGACUGUAUUUUUAUUAUCUAGCCUAAGAAUAAUGGGGUUUGUUUUAACUAACUAAUUAACUAAACUAAGAAUUCACAGAAAAUAGAACUGGGGAAUUACUUUUGGAAAACUCGAUUGAUUGAGACAAUACCUAAGGAAAAAUCCACCUAGACUUCACUUGUUAUUUGACUCUAAAUCGGACGAUUUAUUCAUUUGACUUGAUCCGUAGAAAUCCCUAAGUUAUAUUAUUAUCCCUCUCGAGACUAACAAUGUCUAACCCUAGGUUGAAUAAUUGAAAUCUCUUUCUAAUUAACUCCAUAGGGUUGCAUUAACUUGAUCUAUGGAUCCUUUUUUAGGUUUCACCCUAAUCCGGCAAAAUCUUGUCACCCUAUCUCUAGGCGCGCAACCAACUCCGCUUAAUUAUGACAAAUGUACUCUUAGACAGGGUCUAUUCCUCCUCUGAAUAAGAGCUUAACUUAAAUCAAUAUCCUGGAAUAUCAAAACAAGAAUUAAGAACACAUAAUUAAGAACAAGUCAAAUAUUUAUUAUACAAUUCAGAUAAUAAUAAAAAGAUCUGUCUUAGGUUUCAUUCCCCUUAGGUAUUUAGAGGCUUUAGUUCAUAACUAAAAAGGAAAACAUCUCAGAAGAAUAAUGAAUACAAAACAUAAAGAAAAAAAAACCCAAAACCCCUGAAGGGAAAUUGAAGGGAGAUCUUCAGUUUUGAUGAUGAAUCCGGCUUCUGAGAUGGAUCAGUCGGCUUUCCUUGAGCAGUUCCCAGCCUCUUUUUCUCUAUCCAUUUUCCUCCUCCUCUAGGGUGUAUUUAUAGGCUUUGGAAUGCCUAAGAACCCUCAAAAUUGGUCUUUUUCGAAUUGGACUAAACUUGGGCUUGGCAGGGACACGCCCGUGUGCGAUUACUUCAGGCCGUGCUCGAACCUGUUAAAAUGUCACGGGCGUGUGUUCUACACGUGUGAGUCGUGCUUCGAUUCUGCCAAAUUGACACCGCCAUGUGGUUUGUCCGUGUGAGGAAGUCUAGGCAGUGUUGAUUUCGUAUGUUGGCCCAUUUUCUCUGUUUUUGGCCCGUUUCUCGUUCCUUUCGCUUUCCUAUGCUCGCCUAAGUAUAAAACAUGAAAUUAAGGUAUUAGGAGCAUCGAAGCCACCAAUUUUAAGGAAAAAUCAUUUAUAGAAUGUGUUAAGUAUGGGGUAAAAAUAUGUAUAAAUUACGGUUUAUCAAAUACUCCCACACUUAAGCAUUUUCUUAUCCUCAAGCAAAAUCCUCAACUCAUAAUCAAAAUAAAUUCUUCUCAACUUACAAUUUCUAUCGAUAAUAUCUCAAAAUAAUCCAUAGGUAAUCAUACAUUGAAAAUUCAACUAAAAGAACAUUAGAGCUUCAAACAUUCCAAGUUGAGUAUUUAAUCAUGCAAAACUUAGGCAUCUCCUCUUAUCUAAGUGGUUACCUCGAUUCGAAAUCUCAUGGAGCUUAACAUCCUCACUAAAGAUUCACUCAAACCACUCAAAGUGUUUAAGGACAAUGAAAGUAGCACUCAUCAGUCAAUAAUGAAAAGUCAUUACCAUAGGAUUGCAAGAAAAUCAAAUCUCCACCACUAUAAAUUGAAAUGAAACAUCAAUCAAAAGGUCUUUAGAGGGUCGUAACAAGGCUUUCUUAGGGGGUGUGGUCUCAAGAUGAAAGAAAGGGUUAGAAUCGAGAUUGAAUUGAAAAAUUGCCUAACUAGAAAAAUGACUAGUCAACAAUUGCGUACAGCAGAGCUUUUUUUCUCAGAAUAUGGAAUUUAACUUCUUUAGCUCAGAAGAUCACUACUACAAAUAUGUAUACAUUUUUUUAAGAACAAGUCAAAUUACAAAAAAGAAGAAUAAAACAUAGCGAAGCAAUUAUUCCAACUCAAAUCUCGACAAAAAUAAGGAUCAAAUUAAUUUAGGGGAUUUCAAUAAUAAUGAGGUAUGGGUUAAUAUUGAGGGUAAAUCAAUUAAUGUGUUGUUAGGCUCAAGAGGGUUCACUAAGGGUUAAUUGUGAAGGUAGACUUUUCAUGGCAUGUGUGGGUUAAUCCUAAGUGCCUUUAUCAUUUUGACAUAUCAAAUCAAAUGGUGUGGUCUUGACAUGCAUAAUCAAGCAAGUUCUAGAAUAACAAUUCAAUACUGACGCACUCAUAAUGAAAGUGAGCAUGAAACAAAUAAUAGAUGCUCUAAAGGCUCAAGAUCUCACAAAAAUUAUGGCUUUUUGAUGUUUAAACUUGUGGAUUUCGAUUCAAGAUAAUACCUAAACUUGGGGAAACAACUUAAAAUUUUAAAUUAAAAAUCAACUUAUCAUGCUUAAUUCUCUAAUGUCUUAAAGUUUAAAUAAUCAAUGCAUGAAUGUCUAUGUUUUAAUUUAAGAUAUAUCAAUAAAAAUCAUAAAUCAAUCAAAAUUUAUCCUAAACAUGACAUGAGAGCUUUUCAAGAGAACAAGGCAAUCAUUCAGGGAUAAAGAUGAAUACCCCCAACACUUAAGAUGUACAUUACCCUAAUGUACAAAGAUAGAUGUAUAGAAACGAAUAUAAAAAUAAGAUAGGGAGAGAAGUGAAACUUCCUGAGUGAUGAAUGAAUUUCCUUGAACUGGAGUUUUGGAGAAUAAUCAGCGUGAGGGUGGAGGAGGAUACUCCGGCGGUGGUAGAGGUUCAUUAGCCCAUAAGUCCUGUGCCAAAAUAAUAUUGUAUCUGAAGUUGGUUAUGGUCGUGGUCGAGCAGGACAUGGCAGUCGUGGAGAACCUUUCCAAGUGGAGUUUCGAGUCCCUGAGUAAUAGUGAGCUUUGGAGCUCUUUAUAACUAUGAUAGAAUCAGGAACUCUUUUAGGAAAUAUAUAAGGAAGGAUAAGUGCUCAAUAUGAAUUAGCCAAAAUUAAAAAUUGUAAAAUAAUAAUUAUAAGUCCUAAUAAAAAUAAGGUGAAAGAAAAAUAAAAAGUAGUCUUAAACUAAAAUAAAAGUAAAAACAUAAAAUAAUAAAUAAAAGUUUUUAAACAUCUUCAUCACUGAAUGGUUCGCGAGGUAGGGGUGGCGAUGAGAUGUGGAACUGCUGACAAAUCUGUUGUGGUGUAGCAUCAAUAUGAUCGAAGCGCUGAAAACAUUGCUACUCGAAUCUAGUUAGGCGCUCAGAGAUGUUAGUGUAUGAAGCCGCGGCAUGAACUGGACGAGAGGGUGGUGGUGGCUGAGACGGUGGGUCCCCGUGACGUGGAGGGACAUCAUCAGUAAUGUCUUCAAGGGCCUCCUCCUUGGUAGAUUGGGCUAUACGAUAUUGAGGAGGGUAGGUUCCUCGGCGUUUUUUGAUUAUCCUUAUGCUUAGCAUGCUCGAGAUGCCUUGUAGAGACAUCUGGCCAAUGAGGGUCAAGGAUGAUUAUUGUACCGCAGUGUCAAAAAGCCCGAAGUGUCACGCUAGUCUAGUCACAUAAGGGCCAAUGGAGAUGGCCCCCUUCCUAUGCCGCUCCAUCUGAUGCUGAAUGGCGAGGGCAAUGAAAUAAGCAAGAUCUAUGACGUGCCCGUGCAACAUACACCAUAGAAAGUAGGCGUCGUGAGUGUUGACGAUGCCAGUGCUCUCUCUCUUUCCAGUUAACGUGUGAGCCAAAAUGGCGUGUAAGUACCUCAGAGAGCGAGGGAGAGCCGAUGCAUUGGAGCGGCUAGGAUUGUAGGAGGCAGCGCCGAGGGGGGAGGGCGUCCCAGCACUUCGAGGGAGAACGAUGAAUGUGGCGGUUGAGAGCAUGUAAGUCAUUGUCCUCCUUGAACUCCUCCGUAUAUAAGCCCAGUGUAGUACCGAAUUCUGGGACGCAUAGCUGGCAGACUAAUCCGCCUAGGCGAAAUUGAACUGUGCCGGGAUCAUCGUAGUUUGUCAUUACGGUCUGAAGAUGAAACGUUGAGCAUAGUUCCAUCGUGAGCUCGAGAUAUGUUGGCUCGAUGAUCCCAAAGAAAGGCUCCCAAGGGUCGGUGGUUAGGAGAGCCCGAAUCGCAUCAGCCAACUGAACUUGUUCUACUACAGCCCAGUCAAAGCAACGGCCCGUAAUUAAAGUUGGGCCUGGAGUAUUUGGAAAAGUUCUUCUUAGGGCCCAAUGGGGAACUGAAGGAAAGGGUGACGAAUUUUCGUGGUAGGACCCGAAAAAGAUGACGCUCACUUCUUUUUCUUUGAAGCAGGGAUAGCGGCCUUUUUACCACGUGAAGACGACAUUGUAUACCUGCAAUAUAAAAAAGAACAAUAGUAGGCAAACGAAUUUGAAAAGGAAAAAGCCAUGAAUUUGAACUAACAAUGUCAGCCAAAACUACUAAUACUAACCAAACUCAACCAAAAUAAUCAAUUUGAUCUCAUAAUUUCGUGACAUUAGUAGGGUAAUGGCAUGAGAAUGAGUAUCAUAAUGGCAUGGGUAUGACAAUAGAAUGAGGCUUUCCUAACAACUCGAUUCAACAUGAAAUGUAUGAUAAAUAACCUAAGAAUGAAAAUUAAAUAAUAGAAUAAUGAACAAAAUGAAAAUAUAAUGAAAAGAAUAAAGAUUAUUUUGAUAAUAAGCAUUAGAAAUAAGUAAAAUAGAAGUGACAAGAGUAAACAAACGCUAAGGGAGAAAGAUUGGGCGUCAAAAAUUGGAGUGGGGAGCAGCGCACGGGCAUGGUAGGGAGGGCGUGUGGACUUGUAGCGGCUAGGGUUAGGGUUUUUUUUUGGGUGGAGAAAAAAAUGAAUAGUGCAGCCUUUUUAUAGAUUUUGGGGCACACGGCCAGGGAACACGCCCGUGGUCCCCAAUUUUUGCCCGUGUGAUUCUCGAAUUUUAAAUUUUGGGCACGUCUGACAAUUGGUCCACGCCUGUGUUCCUUGGGCGUGUGGGUGCACACGGCCAUGUCACACGACCGUGUCUAUCUUCGUUCGCUUCUCCCACGCCUGUGUAUGUAGGCCCACACCCGUAUUAAUUUAACAGGUUCGACCAUGGUUUCCAGGCACGGGCGUGUCACAUGCCUGUGUUGUUUUGGCCGGUUCGCCCACGGCCAUGUCGCAUGGCCGUGGCAAUUUAUCGUAGCCCGUGUUGAGGAAAUUUUUGCCUGUUUCCAACAUGGUCGUGGCAAUUUAUCAUAGCUAGUUUUAGGGAAAUUUUUGCCCUAUUUCCACACGGCCUCAGGCACACCCGUGUGCUAGGCCGUGUCUGUAUGGGAAACCUGUAUUCAAGAGCUCUGUUAGUAAGUUAGGUGUUAAACACUAAAAUUUUAAAGAAGUUAAUACAGUUAGUGUUCGGGUUGCCUCCUGAGAAACGCUUAUUUAUAGUUUAAGCUCGACUUACCUUUCCAUUGAAUGGUCAUGGUGGUUCGAGGAGUUUAUACUCUUCAUUCCUGCUAUGAAUCUCAUCAAAAUAAGAUUUUAGAUGGGUAUUGUUUACCUUAAUAGUACCGAACUUGGGAUGACUUACCUCGACUAUACUAAAUGGAAAAAUGCUAAGUACCGUAACAGAGAUUUCUUCAUUCGAUUUGGCAGUGACAAUGUGAGGAUCUGCGGCAUCUAAUAAAACUUUAUCUCCAACCUUAAGUUGAUUUUGAAAGGUAUUGAGCUCAUCCUGGCAUAAUUUUGGUUUAUCGUGUGUUCUCGGUUUAUGUGUCCGCCGUUCAUCUAGCUCCUCUAUUUGUAGCCUUCGUUCUUCAUGAAUAGGCCCUCUAUUAUCGCUUGAGAAUGGCUCAUGUACUUCCUUCAGACUCAUUUCCUGCAAAGUAGGUUGUACCAUAUUGUCAGUUUUAGUAGAAUGGUUUAGACGAUCACCUUCAAUUUCCGAUGUGUUGCCAGAAUUGUGAGCUUGAAGGGUGAUUGUUUCGUCUCCCACACGAAGUGUGAGCUCACCUAUGCCGACAUCAAUAAUCGUUUUAGCAGUUGCUAAAAAGGGCCUUCCUAAAAUUAAAGGAAUGUUGCUAUCCUCCUCUAUGUCUAGAACAAUAAGUCAACGGGAAAUAUAAAUUUAUCGAUUUUAACUAGCACAUCUUCAAUAAUACCUCAAGGAAAUCUUAUAGUUUUAUCUGCUAAUUUAAUACUCAUCCUAGUGUGUUUGGGUUUUUCAAGACCUAGUUGUUUAAACAUUUUGUAAGGCAUGAUGUUAAUACUAGCCCCUAAAUAAGCUAAUGCAUUAUUAACAUCUAAACUACCAAUUAAGCAAGGAAUUGUAAAACUCCCUGGAUCUUUUAAUUUGUUGGGCAGCUUAUUCUGCAGAAUAGCUGAGCAAACUGUGUUUAGCUUCACAUGCAAAGCCUCAUCCAACUUCUGUUUAUUUGCUAAACGCUCUUUUAAAAAUUUUAUUGCGUUUGGCAUCUGCGAUAGAGCUUCAAUAAAUGGUAAGUUAAUAUGUAAUUUUUUUAAGAGUUUAAGAAAUUUACCAAGUUGUUCAUCUGAGCGGUCUUUCCUUGUCGCAUUAGGGUAUGGCACACAAGGUUUGUAUUCUAUACUUACUGAUUUCUGCUCAUUGUGGUCUACCUCACCUUUGCCUUUGCUUAUCUCAGUUUCUUGCCUUGGUUCUGGUUCAAGUGUGACUAACCCUUCCUCAUCUUGACUAGUAAUCGCGUUGAGUUGCUCCCUUGGGUUAGAUUCUAUGUUGCUUGGCAAGCUACCUUGUGGUCGUUCAGAAAUCAACUUGGCAAGCUGUCCAAUUUAAGUUUCGAGCCCUUGGAUCGAUGCUUGUUGAUUCUUAAGUGUUGUCUCUGUAUUUUGAAAAUGAGUUUCUGACACCGAGAUGAAUUUGGUUAGCAUCUCCUCAAGGUUCGGCUUUUUUUCUUACUGGUAAGGUGGUUGUUGAAAACCCGGAGGAUGUUGUGGCCUUUGAUUUCUUUGACCUCCCCAUGAGAAAUUGGGAUGGUUCCUCCAACCUACAUUAUAAGUGUUACUAUAUGGGUUUUUUUGGGAUCUAGAGUUAUUGUUACCCAUAUAUUGGACUUGUUCCUCCUCGAUGCUAUGGUUGAAGGGUUGAUAUUCUGUGCACGCUCCUCCUCCAUUCGAAUCGCACCUCAUUACUGGAUGUACCUGAGUAGAACCACACAAACCGUCAAUCUUUUUAUUUAAGAGUUCUACUUGGUUAGAUAGCAUAGUAACAGCGUCGAGGUUGAAAACACCGGCUGCUUUCGUCGGCUUUGUUCUCAUAACUUGCCACUGAUAAUUAUUCAGUGACAUCUCCUCAAUAAAUUUGUAAGCCACCUCAGGUGUUUUAUUAUUGAUAGUUCCUCCAGCAGCUGCAUCAAUCAUCUAUUGAGUCGAAGGAUUCACACCAUUGUAGAAUGUUUGAACUUGCAACCAUAGAGGUAAUCCAUGGUAAGGACACCUUCGCAGUAGGUCCUUGUAUUUCUCCCAUGCAUCGUAAAGAGUUUCUAAGUCCAUCUGCACAAAUAAAGAGAUAUCAUUACGUAAUUUGGCUAUUUUAGCCGGCGGAAAAUAUUUUAAUAAAAAAUUUUCGAUCAUUUGUUCCCAAGUAGUAAUUGACCCUCGUGGUAACGAGUUCAACCACUAUUUAGCUUUGUUCCUUAAUGAAAAGGGAAACAACCGAAGAUGGAUGGCGUCAUCAGAAACGUCAUUAAUUUUAAAUGUAUUGCAAAAUUCUAGGAAAUUUGCCAAGUGAGCGUUGGGAUCCUCAUCCUGCAAACCAUUAAACUGAACAAACUGUUGUAUCAUUUGAAUUGUGUUAGGUUUCAGUUCAAAUUAUUUGUAGCAAUAGUAGGUCUAACUAUACUUGACUCAGUUCCUGUUAAAUUAGGUUUAGCAUAAUCAUACAUAGUGCGCGCAGUAGGAUUCUGAUUAACAGCAAUCGCAGGAGGUAGCAGAUUUUCUUGGUUUUUAGCCAUCUCCUCGGUUGUGGUUGAAGUAUCGUCCUCUUGCUCGUUCUCUAUGUAUCUUAAGCUUCACCUUAUUUCUCUCUGGUUUCUGCGAACUGUGCGAUCGAUUUCUUCGUCAAAAAGUAGUGGUCCUGACAGGUUUCUUCUAGUCAUAAACUAUAAAAACCUGCCAAAAGAAAGAAAAAGUAAAUUAAUAAAUAAUAACAAAAUUAAAAUAAAAUUAACUUGCAAGAAAAAUAAAUAGCUAAAGUAAUAAAAAUCGAGUGUUCCUAAUAUCUUAGUUCCUCGGCAACGGCGCCAAAAACUUGAUCAUGAUUUUGUGUGAUAAGUUUUAAAUAUUUAUAUUGAAUCGUUCUUGAAGCUAACUAUUAUCACGAUGAAGGCAAGUGUACCUAUCGAACAGUAGUAUAGUUUUAGCAAGAUCGGAUUGUCGAACCCAAAAGAACUAAAAGUACUAGUAAUGUUUGCCUUUUUAUUAUCUAGCCUAAGAAUAAUGGGGUUUGUUUUAACUAACUAAUUAACUAAACUAAGAAUUCACAGAAAAUAAAAUUGGGGAAUUACUUUUGGAAAACACGAUUGAUUGAGACAAUACCUAAGGAAAAAUCCACCUAGACUUCACCUGUUAUUUGACUCUGAAUCGGACGAUUUAUUCAUUUGACUUGAUCCGUAGAAAUCCCUAAGUUAUAUUAUUAUCCCUCUCGAGACUAACAACGUCUAACCCUAGGUUAAAUAAUUGAAAUAUCUUUCUAAUUAACUCUCUAGGGUUGCAUUAACUCGAUCUAUGGAUCCUCUUAUUAGGUUUAACCCUAAUUCGGCAAAAUCUUGUCACUCUAUCUCUAGGCGCGCAACCAACUCCGCUUAAUUAUGAAAAAUGUACUCUUAGACAGGGUCUAUUCCUCCUUUGAAUAAGAUCUUAACUUAAAUCAAUAUCCUGGAAUAUCAAAACAAGAAUUAAGAACACAUAAUUAAGAACAAGUCAAAUAUUUAUCAUACAAUUCAGAUAAUAAUAACAAGAUCUGUCUUAGGUUUCAUUCCCCUUAGGUAUUUAGGGGCUUUAGUUCAUAAAUAAAAAGGAAAACAUCUCAGAAGAAUAAUGAAUACAAAACAUAAAGAAAAAAACCCAAAACUCCUGAAGGGAAAUUGAGGGGAGAUCUUCAGUCUUGAUGAUGAAUCCAGCUUCUGAGAUGGAUCAAUCGGCUUUCCUUGAGCAGUUCCUAGCCUCCUUUUCUCUAUCCCUUUUCCUCCUCCUCUAGGGUGUAUUUAUAGGCUUUGGAAUGCCUAAGAACCCUCAAAAUUGGCCUUUUACGAAUUGGACUAAACUUGGGCUCGGCAGGAACACGCCCGUGUGACACGUUCGUGUGCGAUUACUUCAGGCCGUGCUCGAACCUGUUAGAAUGGCACAGGCAUGUGUUCUACCCGUGUGAGUAGUGCUUCGAUUCUGCCAAAUUGACAAGGCCGUGUGGUCUGCCCGUUGGAGGAAGUCCAGGCCGUUUUGAUUUUGUACGUUGGCCCAUUUUCUCCAUUUUUGGCCCGUUUCCCGUUUCUCGUUCCUUUCGCUCUCCUAUGCUCGCCUAAGUAAAAAACAUGAAAUUAAGGCAUUAGGAGCAUCGAAUUCACCAAUUUUAAGGAAAAAUCAUUCAUAAAAUGUGUUAAGCAUGGGGUAAAAAUAUGUAUAAAUUACGGUUUAUCAAUGGCCUAGGACACACACGGCCUUGUGUCACUUGAAAUUUAUUAGUGUUUCAAAUCAGUGAGUUACAAGACCUAGCAUACGGUCGUGUGACCCUACUCAGUGAGUUACAUGUGUGUCCUUUUGUUCGAAUGUUACACAGCCUGGGCUAUGUCACACGGCCAUGUGACCCAUGUUUUCUAAUUUUUCAAUUUUUUUCUUAAAACUUCUGUUUUGUUUCAAUUUAGUCUCGAAUUGUUUCUAAGCUAUUUUUAGGGUCUCGAAGGCUCGAUUUAGGGACAAAAUGCAUAUGAUUUAUAUGAUUUUGAUUGAGAUUAAUCUAUUUAAUGAUAUGAUGUUAAAUGAUAUCUAGUUGAUUGGUAAUGUUUCGUAACCCUAAUCCAGUGAUGGAGACGAGUUAGGAGUGUUACAUAGAAAAUAAAAUAAAAAAUUAACAAAAUUAUGAUUGUAAAAUAAAAUUAAGGAAAUUAAAUUAAAUCGGUGAAUCAAAUAAAUUAAUACUUAGCCUUAGCCUCGAUGCACUCCGAAAUCAAAUCGAUCUUUGAAAGUAGAUUAUCCUUUCAAAUGAUAAACUGGUUAUAGCGAUCAAGGACGCCUCAACAGCCAACUUUUCCUGCUGUAGUUGGUUCCAAUACGACCUGCCAAUCAACCCUUACCAAUUAUCUAACCACGUAACACACAUUCAUAAUUUAAGAUCUUGGCAGCCUUGCGAUCUAGAAAAGCCCAGCUCGAAUUAACGGCCUCAACCACGUGGGUCGUUAAAUCCAAUCACUAUCUCCCUUGACGAAGGUCCAACUAGCCCUUACCCACAUGGACAUGCCAAUUUAUUUAUGGGAACUUGAAUUCGGCAGAUGACUGACUCGUUUUCCAGUUGUACGCCAAACAACUCCAACUCAACGCGUGCUUUAUGAAUUGAAAUUGAAUUAACUUUAAGGGACGAUUGUGACUAUCCCAUAUACUAGAGAGAUAACGAAUAUUGUAUUUGAAAGGUUUUAGUACGGAUUCAUAUUUCACGAUUCUCGAUAGGAAUGAUAACCAGACUAAGGCUAAAUAAGGUUUUUAGUUGAGCAUGAAAUUAAUCAUACUCGAUGGAUUAUUAGAAUGGAUUUAAGUAUAAUGGUGAUAGGUAGAGGAAGUAAGGGACUUAUAGGGCAAUUGAACCAAAAAUAAGAAAAAGAAAUAGAAUGGCAACAGGUUUUGCCAAUAUUACAAACGUGUGAAAAGGAAAGGAAAAAUUGUAUUGAAUUCAAUUUAGGUGUCUCUUUCCAAACACUUAUACAAGUAUUUAUACACUUUUCAAGUGUUAUAUUUAGCAUGAAUCAACCAAAUAAAAUUAACAUGAUUCCUCUAAUAUUAUGCCAACUAAAAUCAGAUUUUUCCUUUUUAUAGAAUUUGACAAUUUCAAAAAUAUGAUUUAAUCACUAAUUCUACAAAUUUUCUAAUUCAGGCCCUUUUCUUGCUUCUUGUUCCGAUUUAGUCCAUUUUGCUUGAUUUUGAAUUUUGGUAAUCCUUGAUAAGAUUUAAUCAAGAAAUCAUAAGUUUAGUAGCAUUCUGUUAAAAAAUUAGUCAAAAAUAGAUACAUCAAAAGCACAAAAUUAACUUGCUAUCAAAUUUCCCCGUACUUAGUUGAUGCUUGUCCUCAAGCAUGAUGUGUAUUCCCAUACCAGAAAUCAUUCGACAAUUUUUUCGAAAUGAAAUCUUCUUUUUAAGCCAAGCGUAAUGUAAACAAUUAGGUGAAUAAAAAAAAAGUAAUCGCUAGGUUUAACCAAUAGGCGUUUUAUAAAAUUUAGCAUUAUGCAAAAUUCAACUACUUCACUUAAUUUAGGCUUAAUCAAACUUGUGAGACAAUCGUACUCAAUAAAAUUUCCACAAGUUUGGGACAUUAUCGAAUCUUUUUACGUGAAAUGAGAUGACAACCCAAGCUUCUCACUCUGGUUACCCAAUUUGACGUGUCUCCAAUUAGUUUAUUUCUCUUUAAUCAUAGCAACUCGGUUAGUGGCAAGUUUCGGUUCAUUACUCAAAUCUUUUGACUCUAAAUAAGAUGACAAUCCAAGCACCUCAUCCAUGUUACUCAAUGUAACACCCCUAACCCGUAUCCAUCGCCGGAACAGGGUUACGGAGCAUUAUCAAAGUUUUCAGAACAUUUACAGAUAAUUCAUGUCAAAUUUUAUUCAAUUACUGAAAUUACUCAUAACGUCCCUUAAAAUGGACCCUCGAGGCCCAAAACGAGUAUUAGAAUCGAAUCGGGACUAAGUUGGGAACUUAGAGAAUUUUUCACGAAAUUUUAAAAUUUUUCCAAGAUGCAGGACUCACACGCCCGUGUGGUCCAAGAGACACGCUCGUGCUGCAGGUUGUGUUCGACCCCGUGUAACUCUCUGAAUCGUGCCAAAUGGCUGACCACAUGCCCAUAUGCUAGGCCGUGUAGCACAUACAGCUAAGAUACACGCCCAUGUCUCUGCCCGUGUGCUCAAUUUUAAGCAUUUUGUUUCUUAAAUUUAAGGUGCAGGGGACGCACGGCCUAACCACAUGCCUAUGUACCAGGCCAUGUGUCACACAUGGUCAAGACACACGCCCAUUUGUCUACCCGUAUGGACAAAAUAAAGCAAUUUUCUAGCUUUAUUUCUCACCCAAACUUUGCCAAUGACCUACACUAAAACUUUCAUUUAUAUACCAACCAAUUCAAGCAUCAUAACCAAGUUAAUUCUAACAUCUAACAUGGUACAUCAUUACAAGCAUUCAUGUUUAUAAUCUUACUCUUUUGUGAAUGUACAUGUUAACAUAAUUUAAUCAACCACACUAAACACAUGGAUAUUCAUCAUGGUAUAACCUUAUAAUUUUACCAAAACAAAUAUUUACUAACUAUUCCAAAUGGCUAGAUUACAAACAACCCUUUUACAUGCCAAUCCGACCAAUUAACCUACACAUGCCAUUAUAACCAUGACUAAAUUACCAUAUGUAUCGAAAUGAGUUGAUGGAUAGUGUGAGUGAUCUCCGCCAAGCUUUCAACCCAACAGCUUCCGAUUUACUAUAAAAUAAGGAAAUAAAACUAAGUAAGCAUAUAAUGCUUAGUAAGUUCGUAUAACAUGGUACUUAACUUACCAUUCAUUCUGUUUCAAGAUAAGCAUGUAAGACACAUUCAAUCAAUUUGAUCUCAAGCCCUACACAUAUCCUCAUUGCCCUUGUUAGUCAUAUAUUCCAUAAUAACAUCAAGAAACAUAUAUGGGUCAACACAAUCAGAUUUCUGGAUAUAUAUAUCUUCAAUAUCACGUAUCCAUAUAACAUGCAUAAAUCAUAUCUUUAUAUUACAAGUAUAUUUUCAUAAUAAUUCAUCUCGAGUUCAGAUUAUUUCAUGUCAGAACUUUAUUCAUAUAAUUCAAAAUAUCAAUGUCACACGAGUAGUACACUCAAUGUCUAAAAAGCUAUAAUCAAGGAUGAACAUAUUCAUCAAAUAAAUUCCACGUGCAAAUAUUAUCAUCUCAUAUUUCUAUAUAUCAAUUAUCAUGUAUCAUCAUUUUCAUGUAUUUCAAGCAGAUACGUGUAAUAACUUAUUUCUUAUUCAUAUCUUCUCAUGUCAGGAUUUUUUUACCAGUUGAAUUUAUUUGAAAUAUCGAUGGAUACACAGGUAGUACACUCGAGGUGUACAAAUCAAGAUCUGUCAAUUCAUAUUCAAAGGUACCCAUUAGGGAACUUAACCAGAAAGCACACUCUUGAGCCACAUAUCAUAUAACAUGAUUACUUGUCCAAGCAAAAUCCUGUUUCCAUCAUAUGCUUACAAGAGCUUAAUCAGGAUUGCCCAUCUGGGCUAAAUCCUAUCUGUAACAUAUGCUCAAGAGGGCUGAUAUCAGGAUUACCAGUUCAGGCUAAAUCCUUUCUGUAAUGAGGUCAAUAGGAUUACUCGUCUGAGCUAAUUCCCGUCAGCAACAAAUGCAGGACCUCAUUCAAUAAGGAGAAUCACAUUUAUCCAUCGAUUUUCAUUUAUUCAAAUGGGAUUUAAAAUUUUCAAGCAUUACCAGGCAUGUGAUUAUUUCAUAGGCAUGUGAUUAUUUCAUACAUCUAUAACAUUCUUAUAAUUCAAAUAAACACAUUUCACAUUCAUUUUAAGCAUAAAAGUAACAUUUUUAUCGUUUAUCAUUUAAAGGGCAUUAUCAUUGAUCGGGCUUUUUCAGAUAUAUUUUCAAUGUCAUAUAUAUAUGAUAUUUAUAUAAAUUACAUACACAAAAUCUAAUUCAAGCAUAUAAAUAUACAAUUUAGUUACACAAACUUACCUCGACAAAUGUUCGUGUACAUAAAAUCUAUUAAUCCAACAUUUUUCUCUUUUCCUCGUUCUAGCUCUGAAUUUAGUCUAUCUGGAUCUAUACGAGUAAAUUUAACAUCAAUUUGAUACAAUUUAAGCUCAAUUUAGUCCAAUUUACAUCUUAGGCAAAAUUACCACUUUUAAUUAAUGACGAUUUCAUCCCUAUGCUCGGAAAAUGAAAUCCAUGCAAUUUACUCCUUAUUCCAAGCCUAACAAAAAUUUCAAUAUAAAAUUUACAGCACAUGUAUUCUAUAAAAUUCACAAUUUUUCUUCAAUUUACACAACUUUAAAAUUUAGUCCCUAAAUCAUGUUUUCAUCAAAAAUCAAUUUGUAAAAGUUGUUUAUCUAUCAUCAACCUUUCUAUUCUACCAUAAAUUUCAAAUUUUCAGCAUAUUCAUCCAUGACAUAAUUUCUAUACUUUGAUAAUUUUUCAAAUUAAUCCCCCAAAUAGAUAGAUUAGACUAUCCAGGUUUUAAAAAUAUAAAAAUUACUAAAAAAGGGGCUUGAAUACUUACCUAAUUUGGCCAAGAAAGCUUGCUUUUUCUUUCCUAGGGUUUCCAUGAAAUAUUUGGGCAAGAAGAUGAUAUAAAAUGAUUUUUAUUUCUAUUUAAUUAUUUAUCAUCUUUUAAUUUUAUCACUUUCCAAUUUAGUCUUUAGUCUCUUUCUAAUUUUCCUUGGAUGAAUCAUCCAAAAAUAUCUACUAACUUUUCAUUAAUGGUCUAAUUACCAUAUAAGGACCUCCAAUUUAAAUUUCUAUAGCUAUUUAAUCCAUUUAGCUAUUAGAACAAAACUUUUUCACUUUACACGAUUUAGUCCUUUAUCAAAUUAAACAUGUAAUCGAUAAAAUUUCUUUACAAAAUUUUCACACUAUAUUAUUAUCAUACUGUAGAUCAUAAAAUAGUAUUAAAAUAAUUUUGCUUUUUGGGCCCGGAUCUGAGGUCCCGAAACCACUGUUCUGAUUUUAUCAAAAAUUGGGUUGUUACACUCAAUUUGGUCACAUUUCUGAAAUCUUCACUAAAUAACUAAGCCAUUAACGGAGUAAAUAUUUAUUUAUUUACUAUUUUUUAUUUUUAUUUCAAUGAAAAAAAUGAAACUUGGGUCCUUUAUUAGGUAAGUUUAAAAAGCCAACUAUUUUAUGAAAUGUUGACUUAGCCAUAAUCUUUUUUCUACAAAACACUUGUCAAUCAAAUUAAGCAAUAACUAGUUAUUCAUGAAUUACCCAAUUAUUUAAAUUAACUAAGCAUAGGAUUUGGAGGUUCAAUUUCAAAACAGAUUAAGGAAUAAUCUUAGUAUACGAAUUAACACAUAUAAAGAAGAAAUAGCAUGAAAUGUCCUACGAAUCCCCUUUACUUAGCCCACAUUACUCUCAAUGUGCAAUUUCAAAAGAAUAAUAAAUAGAAGGGUGAAGUGUACUUGUAUUAAUUUGGCAGAGGGUGGUUUGGGCAGUUCAAGUUGGUCUUAGUCGGUUCAGUCCUCGGGCAGAACUGAAAUUUGACAAGGUGUGCCCAUGCCACAAAAGAAACUCGAUUUUGAUUUAUUUUUGGAUGACAAGGGAUAGUCUCCACCAUCGUUCCUGGUAAACAAUACAUUAAAAUAGAUUAAAUAAUAAUCUUAUUUUUUUUAUUUUCAACAUGAAUUAAACUGAAUUCAAAAUUAAAUAAAUUAAAAUAAAUAAAUAUGGAUUACCUUCCAAAAAGCGUUUUUGUUUAACAUCGUUAGCUUAAAUACCCUAAUUUUAUUCAUUUGGCUCCUCGAGAAGUAACUCAUCCUCUACGUUCAUUUGGAAGUUCUCGUAAAAAGGUUUCAGCCUUUGCCUAUUGACCUUGAAAUACUCCCUGGAUUUCUCCAUCAUCGGUGGAUUGAGGUGUCUUUGAGCUUCUCUGUUCGGGUUUGCCUUUUCCUCUAUUGGAAUCAUUCAAUGUUCCGGUAAUGAUUUGAGUUCUAAUUUCGAGGCCUCCAUGCGAAUGACAACUUUACAUAUUGGUUCUUUGAUCAUCAAUAAUUCUUCAUAUUUUUCCAUAGAGUCGAGAUCUAAAUUCCUACAUAGCAAGUUUGUAGUUCAUCCUCUUUGUAAUAUCCAAAAUGAAAGUUUGUCAAUGGUUCAAUUAUAUUGACACUAGAGAAAUUUGUCAUUACACUGGGAUGACCCAUGUCCUCAUAAACAUUGAACUAGACCACAUCACCGUCGAAUUCCAUGGUCAGUGUUCCACUCAGAACAUCAAUUUUCGUUCGUGCGGAGCUUAAAAAUGAUCUCCUAAAUAGAAUAUUGAUGGUCACUAAACUAACUAAAAUCACGACAAAGGCAAUAAAGGGGAUGUUUUUAAAGGGGAUGUUUUUAAGCUAAAAUUAACUAAACCAAUUACUGAGAACGCAAUAAAGAGCGAAUUGGGAAAAUAUUUAAAGAAAACCAAUGAGAUAGACAAUACCCAAGAAAGAAUCCACCUAGACUUCACUUAUUAUUUUGAGUCUGAAUUAAACAAUUUAUUCACUUGUGCCUUGAUCUGUAGAAAUCCUUAAAUUAUAUUAAUCUCUUUUGAGAGUAAGAACAACUGAAUCUAGGUUGAUUAAUUGAAAUCUCUUUAUCUAGGUUGAUUAAUUGAAAUCUCUUUCUAAUUAAAACCCCUAUUGUCACAUUAACUCGAUCUAUGGGUUUCCUUAUUAGAUUUGACUAUAAUCCGGUAGAUUUAUGUCUUCCUAUUUCUAGGAUUGCAUGCAACUCCUCUCAAUUAUGCCAGAUCUACUCUUAAAUAGGGACUUUUGCUCUACUAAAAUAAGCACAUCAAACUUGAAUUAAUAUCUUGAAAAUAAAGUAAGAAAUAAGCAUAUAUAAUUGAGAACAAGAAACAAAUAUUUAUCAUGUAAUUCAAAAAAUCAAAUAAUCAGAUCCAUCAUAGGUUCCAUCUUCCCUAGGUAUCUAAGGAAUUUAGUUCAUAAUCUGGGAUGGAAGCAUCUCAAAAUUAGAAUAAUAACAAGACAUAAGAAACCCAAUAAAACUUCGAAGGAAAUUUGACUAGAGAUCUUCAAUCUUGAAGGAGAUCUGCUUCUGAGUUGAUUCCGACUGUGUUUUUCGAGUAAUCUCUUCGUUGUACUCUGCGUGUCCUCUUUAGUCCUCUUUUAAUAUGUAUUUAUAAGCUUUAGAAUGCUUAUAAACCCUAAAAAUUGAGUUUUUCAGUGUAAAAGAGAAGUAGGGCUCGAAAUCGACACGGGCUCACGUAUUGGCAUGUGGCCAGCCCGUGUGGCUUACACUUAGAAACCCUAAAAAUUGAGUUUUUCAGUGUAAAAGAGAAGUAGGACUCGAAAUCAACACGGGCUCACGUAUUGGCAUAUGGCCAGCCCGUGUGGCUUACACGGGCAUGUGCCCAGCCUGUGUAAAAAUGCCUAGGCCGUGUGGCUCCUGAAAAUAGCUCUUUUUAUCCGCUUUUGGCCCUUUUUUGCUCCUUUAACUUCCCUAUGCUCACCUAAGUAUAGAAAAAUAAAUUUAAAAGAUUAGGAUCAUCAAAUUCACAUAAUAAAUCAUCCAAAAACAUGCUAAGCAUGGGAUUAAAACAUGUUACUUUUAUGGUUUAUCAAAUAUCCCCAAACUUAAGCUUUUGCUUGUCCUCAAGCAAAAUUCUCAACUCAUAAUUAAAAUUAAAACUUUCUUAACUCAUAAUUCUCAUCAAUAAUGUUUUGUCAUAAUUCCCAAAUAAUUAUACAUUGAUAAUUCAACUAAAAUAGCAUUAAAGAUUCAAAUAAUCCAAGUCAAGCAUUUUUAAAUCUUGAAAACAUAGGUAUUUCCCCUUAUCUAAGUAAUUAUCUUUAAUUUAAAACCGACAAGAAUUGACAUCCUCAUUAAAGAUUCACUCAAAUCACUCAAAGUGUUUAAGGUUCAAAAAUAAGCACUCAAUAGUCAAACAUGAAAAGUCAUUACCAUAGGCUUGCAUGAAAAUCAAAUCUCCACCACUAUAAAAUAAGAUGAUACACAAAUCAAAAGGUCUUUAAAAGGUUGUAAUGGGGCUUAGGUUAAAGGUGUAGAGAAAGGCUGAAAAAGAGGGUUAGAAUCGAGAUCGAAUUGAUAAAUUACCAAACUAGAAAAAUAACAAAUACUGAAUUAUAAAUAAUUACAUCAAUGGAAACUAUUCAAGAAUAACACAAGCUUCUUCUCAAAAUAUGAAUUUAACUGUUCAAGCUCAAUUAACAAAAAACUAAAUAACUAUAUAUUUAUUUUUUUGAUGACUUUUUAUAUAUGUAAAUAAGAAGAAAUAAUUCAGUAACUUAAUUAAAAGGCUUAAUCAGACAAUUAAUCAAAUCAAAUCUUGAUAAAAAAAAUGAAGUCAAUAAAACAGGAAAAAUUCUUAAUGAAGAAAAAAUAAGUUAUGGGUUAUCAUUAAUGGGUAAAUCAAGAAACGGUGUGUUAGGCUCAAAAAGGGUUCACUAAGGGUUAAUUAUGAAGGUAGGCUUUUUAUGGGAUAAGUAGGUUAAAACCUAAGUGCCUUUAUCAUCUCAGUAUAUCAAAUCAAAUGUGUGGUCUCGACAUGCAAAAUCGAAGCAAAUUCUAGAAUAAUCAAUCAAUAUUGACACACUCAUAAUCAAUAAUAAAAUGAGCAAGAAAAGUGUAUGCUCUAAAGGCUCAAAAUCUCACAAAAAUUAUGGUUUUUAAUAUCAAUCUUGCAAAUCUCAAACUUCAAGGUAAUACCUCAAUUCAGGGAAACAACCUAAAAUCUUUAGUUCUGAAAAUAGAUUUAUGAUGCUUGGUUCUCUCAUGUCUUAAAGUUUAAAUAAUCAAUGCAAAAAAAUCUAUGAAUUUAGUCUAAAGUAUAUCAAUGAUAAUCACAAAUCGAUAAGAAUUCAUUCUAAUAGUAAUAUGAGAAAAUUACUUGAACACAAUACAUAAUUCAGGAAUUUUCUAAUAAUCAUAUAAAUAACCUCCCCACACUUAAGAUGUACAUUGCCCUCAAUGUACAAACAAAAAUAAUCACAAUAGAAACAACAUAUCAUAAGAGAAUGAGAGAAUUGAAACGGCCCUAAAUAUUGGAUGAAAUCCCCAGAAUAGUGAAAAGCAGAAUUGUAGACAAAUCUAAAUGUAGUGCAUAAUUCUGAGCAACUAAUAAGAAAAUAAACACAAAUGGUGAAGAAGAUUAAAGGGUUACUCGAUUAGAAAUAUCAUAAUAAAUAAAAAUGUAAUUCAAAAUAUAAAAACAAAAGAAGUCCAAGAAACAUAAAAAUAGAAAUAAAAAUAAAAAAUAAAAUAAAUGAACUCAAUGGUCCUCAUCAUCAGACGCGUCGAUGUCGUGAGUCAUCGGAAUUGGAGAGGAGAUAUGGAAAUGCUGAUAGAUCCUCUGCAAGGUUGCAUCAAGACUGUCGAACCUCUGAGUGCAGUAUUACUUGAAGCGAGUGAGCUACUUUGAGACAUCCUUUGAAGUAGGAGAAGUAGGAAUAGGUCGAUGACUCGAAGGUGGAUGCUGUAGUGGGUCCUCAUUAUGGCGAGGAACAUCAUCAGUGAAGUCUCGGGUUUAUUUUAAACGUCAGAAUGAAACAAUCGAUACUGAAGGGGAUCCACUCCAUGAUGCCGCUCGAUCAUCCUCAUGUGUAUCAUGCUCGAGCUUCCCUGUAGGGACUUCUAUCCGAUAAGUGUGAGUGUGGAGGACUGCUCCGGUGCGUCUAGGAGACCGAAGUGUCGAGCGAGGUGAGCCACAUAAGGGCCUAAACAGAUGGGACCCUUCUUGUGGCAGCCAGUCUGAUGGCGGAAGGCUAAGGCGAUAAAGUACACCAAGUCAAAUAUAUGCCCGGUGGCCAUGCUCCAUAGAAAAUAGGUGUCAUGAGUGCUAACGACUCCAGUGCUCUCCCUCCUACUAGUCCCAGUGUGAGCUAAAAGUGCAUGAAGGUACCUUAAAGCUGGAGGGAGAGAAGUCGCCUUCGAGUGACUCGUAUCAUAAGGUGUCUGGCUCACUGUAAGCUCUAUCUAACAACGUGAUGGUGUAUAAUGGAUGUGCCGGUGAAAUCAAAGGAAGUUAUUGAUGCUCAUAAAUUUAUCUGUGUAAAGUCUCAUAGCAGCACUGAUCUUGGGAACACUCAUCUGACACACCAAACCACCAAGUCGAAAAGUGAUGGUGUCUGGCUCAUCAUGAGUUAUCAUGACCUGCUGUACAAGAAAUGUCAUGCAGAAUUCCAAAGUAAGCUCCAUGUAAGUGGGCUCGAUGAUGGAGAAAAUUUUUUCCCACGGAGCUGUGGCAAUAAAGGCAUGAACAUCGUCAACUAGGCGGAUCUGCUCCAAUGCGACCCAAUCGAUGCAUCGGCCUAGACCGAGUGGUCGUACUCAAAAGAGCUGAUAUAAACCCUCUUAGGGGCUUGGCGAGAAUCGGAGAUAGGGGUGACGGGCCUUGGCAGAAGUGCUCGAGGAGGAGGUCCUACCAUGGGUCUUCUGCUUUUUCGAAGUGGGGACGGUAACCUUAGUCUUGCCACAUGUGUUUGUCAUGGUGUGCCUGAAAAAGUAAAAGAAUUCAUCAAUAAACAAAGUAUCACCAAACAAAUAUGAAAACUAGGGUUGAAAAGAUAAAAUUCAAGUAGUUCAAAUAGAAAAUUACUCCUAAAACAGUAUGUAUGAAUACCUAAGUAUGCAAAAAUCAUAUCAUAUAACUACCAUGAAUCAAUGUGAUGAAACAAUAAAUAAUAAAAACCAAAUCAUGGUAUGCUUAAACUAAGACUAAUAGCAAUAGUAAUUUAAGAAGAAUAAAAUGAUAAACUAAAAAGUAACCUAAAUAGACUAACCAUAUUAGAAAGAAAAUCAAUAAUCAAUACUAUAACACAAGUAGAAGGACCAGUAAAGAAAACAGAAGCAAAUUAUAAACAUUCGAAAUGAAUAAAAUAUGUAACAUAAAAAGAGUAGAAUAUUAAAAUAAAAGAAACUAAGAAAGAAUUUUAAAAAAUAAUAACAAUUUUAAAAAAUAAUAAUAACAACAAACAAAAAGAAAUAAUAAUAAUAGUAAUAAGGUGAAAUAAAAAUAAAAUAAAAAAUAAAAAUAAAAAAGGAAACUGACUGUGUGAAGGGCGGUAAGUCGGGCGUGCGGUUGGAAGGGAGACCAAGAAAGAGACGGGGGAAAGAAAGGGAAAAAAAAGAGAGGGUAAGGGGGGUUGUAGGUGGCCGACAGAGUGAAGAAGGAAAGGGGAGAGGUUUGUGGGUGGCGUGCUGGAGUUUGUAGGGUUGGUCCGUUAGGAAGAGGAAGGGGAAAGGGACAGAGAGGGAGGCGGCUCGUGCUAAGGAAAGGAGAGAGAAGUCUGGGGCUGGGGUACAUGGGCGUGGGCAUGGGAAGGGUGAGAGAGAGAUGGCUGCGUCGUGGGAAGGAUAGGAAGAGGAGAGGCAGUUUCAUCAUGGUGGCCGAAAGGUUGAUGGAAAGAGAGCUGCGGCAACUAGGGUGGGAAAAGUUUGGGGAAGAAGACAAAAUGAAAAAUAAAUUUAUGGUUUUUGGUUAAAAAAGGGAGACGAUCGUGUGAGGCCCGUGUUGAGCCACACGGCCAUGUCACAUGCCCGUGUGACUUCAAUAUUUUUCACCCUGUAGUCACACGACCUCGAACACGCCCGUGUGUCCAAGCAGUGUGUGCCACAUGGCCGUGUCGCCUGGUCGUGUGCAUCUUCCUUCGCUUCUCCUAUGCUCGUGUGACCUCCUAGACGCCCGUGUGGCUUGUCGUGUCUCGCGAACAACCGUAUGCCUCACCCGUGUAACUCUCUGACUUAUUUUAAAAUAAAAAAAUUUAGCUCCAAGUUUCACACGGCUUAGGACACGCCUGUGUGUCCAGGCCAUGUACUAUUUUAGGCUGUGUCUCUGUCAAUUUUUGAAAAAUUAAGUCCCAGGAUCCACACGGCCAAGGACACGCCUGUGUGUCCAGGCUGUGUGGUUCAUAUAGUCAUGUCGUCAAGCCAUGUAACUCAUUAUUGAUUUCUUUAAAAAUUCAAAACUAAGUUUGAAAAUUCCAUACGGCUAAGGACACGCCGAUGUGUCCAAGCCAUGUGUGUUAAUUUUUUUUUAAUUUUGAAAAUUAAUUAAUUUUAAAAAUACCAUGAAAUAAAAUUAAGAAAAUUAGCAGUGUUAGCACUCAAGUUGCCUCCCGAGAAGCGCUUAUUUAAAGUCUAAGCUCGACUUACCUUGUAUUCGCACGGUCACGGUGGUUAGCGGAGUCGAAACUCCUCUUUCUCGAUGUCAAUUCUAUUAGCAGAGUAAGGUUUGAGCCAAGUAAUGUUUACCUUGAAAGUGCCGAAUUUAGAAUGAUUUACCUUGACUGUACCGUAUGGGAAAAUAUUUAGUACCAUAAAAGGAAUUUCUCCAUUUGCAUUAAGCUCUGAUGUGGCAAUUCGAGGGUCCAUUUUAUCUAAUAACACCUGAUCCCCAACCUUAAAUUGGUUUGUUCCAUCCUUAUGCUUGUCAUGGCAUCGCUUUGGUUCUGUAUCGUGUACUCUCGGUUUCUCCUUGACAUGUGACCGCCAUUCAUCUAGUUCAUCGAUCUGUAGCCUUCUUCUUCAUGAGUUGUUCUAUUUUUGUCGCAUGAGUUGGAACGUGGCUCUAUCAAAUUUCUCUGAGGUGUUUCCUACAAAGAAUGUUGAGCCACAAGGUUACUAAUAUUAAGAGAACUCGUAUAUUCAUUGCGAUCACUAGAUAACCUAACAGAAUCACGAGCUUGGAGUUUAAUCGUAUCAUCACCUAUACGAAGUAUUAGUUCACUUGUACCAACAUUAAUGAUAGUUCUGGCAAUUGCUAAAAAGGGCUAACCUAAAAUUAAAGGUACGUCACUAUCCUCAUCCAAGUCUAAGACAACAAGAUCGAUUGAGAAUAUAAAUUUUUCAAUUUUGACAAGAACGUCUUCAACAAUACCCCUAGGUAACCUAAUGGUUCUAUCUGCCCAUUGAAUACUCAUCCUAGUUUGUUUAGGUUUCCCCAGACCUAGUUGCUUAAACAUUUUGUAGGGCAUGACAUUAAUACUCGCCCCUAAAUCAGCUAAAGCAUUAUUAACAUUUAAACUACUAAUUAAACAAGCAAUAGUAAAACUCCCUCGAUCUUUCAACUUAUUGGGUAGUUUAUUUUGCAAGAUAGACGAACAAACUGCAUUUAGCUCCACAUGCGAUGACUCAUCUAACUUCCAUUUGUUUGCCAAAAGCUCCUUUAGAAAUUUAACUGAAUUGGGCAUCUGCGAAAGAGCUUUAAUAAACGAUAAGUUAGUAUGCAACUUUUUCAAAAGUUUAAGAAAUUUACCAAAUUAUUCGUUUGUGUGGUCUUUCUUUGUCACAUUGGGAUAUGACACACUAGGUUUAUACUCCUUACCUACCGAUUUUUGUUCACUGUGGCUCACCUCAACCUUACCUUGACUUACCACAUUUUCUUGCCUUAGUUCUGGUUUAGGUUCAACUAACCCUUCUUCAUCUCGAACCGUAAUUGCAUGAAGCUACUCUCUUGGGUUAGUUUCGGUGUUGCUAGGCAAGCUACCUUGUGGUCUUUCUGAAUCAACUUAGCAAGUUGACUUAUUUGAUUCUCGAGCCCUUGAAUCGACGCUUGUUGAUUUUUAAGUGCAGUUUCAGUGUUUUGUAAGUGAGUUGCUGACACUGAAAUGAAUUUCAUCAACAUCUUCUCAAGGUUCGAUUUUUUCUAUUGUUGGUAAGGUGGUUGAAAGCCAGGAGGGGGUUGUGGUCUCUGAUUUCCUUGACCAUCCCAAGAGAUAUUCGGAUGAUUCCUCCAACCUACAUUAUAAGUGAUUCUAUAGGGAUUAUUCUGAGGUCUAGAAUUAUUACCCACAUAGUUGACUUGUUCGUUCUCUGUGCUAGGGCUGUAGGAUAGGCAUUCUGGAUUGUUCAUUCCUCUUCCAUUCGUAUCACAUUACAUCACCAGAUGUACUUGCAUAGAACCAUAUAAACCAUCAAUCUUUUUAUUCAAAAUUUCUACCUAAUUCGAUAACAUGGUGACUGCAUCCACGUUAAAAACACUGGCUACUUUCAUCAGUUUCUUUCUCAUGAGUUGACACUAAUAAUUAUUUAGUGACAUCUUCUCUAUAAACUCGUAAGCCACUUCAAGUGUUUCAUUGUUCAAAGUACCACCAGUGGCUGGAUCGAUCAAUUACCUAGUUAAGGGAUUCAAACCAUUGUAGAAGGUUUGAACCUGUAGCCAUAGAGGUAACCUAUGGUGAGGGCACCUUCUUAAUUAAUUCUUAUACCUCUCCCAUGCAUCAUAUAGGGUCUCUAAAUCCAUUUGCACGAAGGAAGAGAUAUUAUUCCUCAACUUAGCUAUCUUAGCCAGUGGAAAAUACACCAAUAAGAACUUUUCGGUCAUUUAAUCCCAUGUAGUGAUAAAACCUAGUGGGAGGGAGUUCAACCACUGUUUAGCAUUAUUUCUCAAUGAGAAGGGAAACAACCGUAGGUAAAUGGCGUCAUUAGAAACACCAUUAAUCUUGAAAGUGUCACAGAAUUCUAGAAAGUUGGCCAAAUGAGUAUUUGGAUCUUCAUCUUGCAAACCAUCAAACUGAACAAAUUACUGAAUCAUCUGAAUGGUGUUUGGCUUCAGUUUGAAGUUACUCGCAGAAAUAGCAAGUCUCACAAUACUUGAUUCAGCCCCAAUUAGAGUGGGCUUGGCAUAAUCAUACAUGGAAAUGAGGAGUAGGAUUCGAAUUUAUAGGAUUUGUGGCAACCACAGGACGUAGCUGAUUAUUUUGAUUUUCAGCCAUCUUCUCAAUAAUAACAAUAACAUUUUCUUGCUCUUCCACUGCACUUUAUCGACUUUGCCUUGCUUCUUUACGGUUUCCAUGAGUUGUGCUUUCAAUCUCACUAUCCACUACUAAAUGUCCUAAUGGGAUUCUUCUAGUCAUAAACUAACGAAACCUGCCAGAAGCAAACAAAAGAAAAAUUAUAAAACAAAAAUUAAACCAAAAAUAAAAUGCAAUAAAAUAAAAAUGGCUAAAGUAAUAAAAAUCGAGUGUUCCUAAUAUUUGAGUCCCCGACAACGGCGCCAAAAACUUGAUGGUCACUAAACUAACUAAAAUCACAACAAAGGCAAACGCACUUAUCGAAUAGUAGUAUAGCUAUGGUGAGUCGGGAAUAUCAUAUCCACGAGGACUAAAAGUAUUAAUAAUUGCCUUUUUCUAUUAUUUAGCCUAUAGAUUAAAAGGGAUGUUUUUAAUCUAAAAUUAACUAAACUAAUUACUAAGAACGCGACAGAGAGCGAAUUGGGAAAAUAUUUUAAGAAAACCAAUGAGAUAGACAACACCCAGGAAAGAAUCCACCUAGACUUCACUUAUUAUUCUGAGUCUGAAUUAAACAACUUAUUCACUUGUGCCUUGAUCCAUAAAAAUCCCUAAAUUAUGUUAAUAUCUCUUUCGAGAGUAAGAACAACUGACUCUAGGUUGAUUAAUUGAAAUCUCUUUCUAAUUAAAACCCCUAUUGUUGCAUUAACUCGAUAUAUGGAUUCCCUUAUUAGAUUUGACUAUAAUCUGGUAGAUUUAUGUCAUCCUAUUUCUAGGAUUGCUUGCAUCUCCACUUAAUUAUGCUAGAUCUACUCUUAAACAGGGACUUUUGCUCCACUGAAAUAAGCACAUCAAACUUGAAUUAAUAUCCUAGGUAUCUAGGAAAUUUAGUUCAUAAUCUGGGAUAGAAACAUCUCAAAAUCAAAAUAACAACAUGACAUAAGAAACCCAAUAAAACUUCGAAGGAAAUUUGACUGGAGAUCUUCAAUCUCGAAGGAGAUCUACUUCUAAGUUGAUUCAGACAAUGUUCUUCGAGUAAUCUCUUCGUUCUACUCUGCGUGUCCUCUUUAGUCCUCUUCUAAUAUGUAUUUAUAAGCUUUAGAAUGUUCAGAAACCCAAAAAAUUGGGUUUUUUCGAGUAAAAGAGUAGCAGGGCUCGAAAUCGACACGGACUGGCGUAUUGGCAUGUGGCCAGCCCGUUUGGCUCACACGGGCGUGUGCCCUAUAACAGUCCGAUUUUGACCCUAAUUGGAAUAGUGGUUUUGUGACCAUAAAUUCGAGUCUGAAGAAUAUUUUAAUAUUAUUUUCUGUGUCUGUGAUAUGUGAAUUUAUGUCUGUGAAAUUUCUGGGAUUUAAUUUGUUCUUUUCUGUGCUUAAUUAUGAAAAUUGAUUAAAUCGCGAAAGUAUAAAAGUUGAGUGCUAAAUGUUAAAGCACCUAAUUGGCUUGGCUUUUAAAAUAAAGGUCCUUGCACGUCAAGUUUACCAUUUAUAUUAAUGGUAGACAAUGAUGGACAUUAGUGGUUGAAAAUUUGAUGAUAUAUGCCAAUGGCAAAAUGGGAAAAUGAUUAUUAAAGUUAUUAAAUGAAAAUAAACAUGAAAAUGAAGCCAUUUCAUGCAUGUAUUGCCAAAAAUACAAAUAAAUAGAAAGAAGAAGACUAUCCUAGGGUUCGGCCAUUGAUUUGGUUGAUUAAGGUAUGUACUUUGGUCUGUUUUUGAUAAUUUUCUACGUUUUUGUGAUCGUUGCUUCAUGUUCUUCAAAACCCAUGUCUGAAUUUCUAUUUCUGUUAAAGAUUUCAUGAAAUGCCAUUGUUGAUAUCAUGAGUUUUGUGAUGUUUUUGAAUGAAUUAUAAAGGCUUGCUAGAUGAUUCAUAAGUUUUGUCUUUGAGUUUUUGAUGAAAUUGAGUUAUUUGGGUUAAAUUUUGAAAAUGAAGUUUAGAAGGACUAAAUUGUGAAUUGAACAUGUUGCAUGGGCUUGUAUAGAAGCCAUGAAAAGUCGGCUAGCCCUUUUUGCAAAUAAAUUUUGCAUAUUGGUGAUUUUGAGAAAAAUGGACUAACUUGUCAAAGUGUGAAAAUGUAAGGGCUAAAAUAUAAAGUUCCCUAACUAUGUGUAUAUGGAUUAAAUUGAAUGAAAUGAAUGAUCGAAUGGUUGAAUUUGUAUUGUAUUAGAUCAAGAACAAAUAAAAUCGAACUUAGAUCGGGGGAAGUCCAAAAUAGUUAAAUAGACGACUCGUUUUAUCCGAAAUUCGUUCGAGGUAAGUCAAAUUACAAUUACAUGUUAAAUUGAAAUAAAUUCUGCACAUAUAAACUGUAAUCUGUAUUGGAUGGCCUUGAGUGCCUGAUGAAUAUCUUUGGAGUAAAGUAUGAUAAUAUGUUAAUAUCUGAAAAGCUCUGUAUGUUUCUAAGAAAAGUUGACAUCUGUCUGAGACAUCGUGUAAGACCGUGUCUGGGACACAGGUCUCAAUUGAGAUUUACGUAUAAGACCAUGUCUGGGACAUCGACAUUGCAUCUGAUUUCGUGUAAGACCCUGUCUGGGACAGAGGUAUCGAUAUUGAAUUACAUGUAAGACCACGUCCGGAAUGUCAGCAUUGUACUUGUUUAUGAGCAUCUAUAUCGUUUCUGACCCGUCUAAUGAUAGCGUACGAAAUCUGAGUUUGAGUAUAUGAAAUGUACAACCUAUGCAGGUACAUUUGUAUCGUACUAAAUUUUUGAAUAUAAAAAACUCUGUCUCUAUGAAAUAUGUAUGAAAAUGAAGCAUGACAUAUAUGCAAACAAAUAAGCAUGGUUAAGUUUAUGAACUAUUCUAUGAAAUGGUUAUGAAUCUAUAUGGGUGAAUUGUAUUUAUAUGCUUUAGUAGUUAGACCAAUUGUAUUUGGCUUACUAAGCUCUUUGUAGCUUACUCUGUGUGUUUACUGUCUGUUUUACAGUUAUCAUAGCUAUUGAAGGCUCGGGGAUAGUCGAGGAUUGUCACCGCACUAUCGAUCUCAUUUUGGUACUUUUGAAGGUGUAAAUAUUUUAAAGUAUGGCAUGUAUAGGCUAGAAGGUUUAUGUAUUAAGUUUUGAAUUGUAAAUAUAGGUUAUGAAAUGAAAGUUGGCUAUCAAAUGGUAUAUUUGUGUUAAGUUUUGGUAUGGUUUGGAUGAGUUUUGAAUGAUGAUGAAAUAGUUGUAAUGAAGCAUGUUUUGAGCAUGAAAUUGGCUGAAUAUUUUGUAUGCAUGUUGUUUAAUUUGGCUUAAACCAAGCCUGCAUUGUGCCACACGGGCAUAGCACACAGGCGUGUUUGUUGGCCGAGGACUUAAGUCAGUAGCUAGCUAAGAAUCACACGGUCGUGGCACACGGGCGUAUCUGAACUUUAUGAAUGUGUUCGGCUUAGUCUCAACUGUCUCUAAAAAGAUGAUUGCUUAUGAAAUGAUGUUAUAUGAUAUCUGUGAUUCUGAAUUAGUUUAAAAUGUUUUGUUUGUCUGGUAAUGCCUGGUAACCCUAAUCCGAUGUCAGUUACGGGUUAGGGGUGUUACAUGCCCAGCCUGUGUGAAAAUGCCCAGGCCGUGUGGUUCCUGAAAACAGCUCUUUUUGUUCGUUUUUGGCCCGUUAUUUGUUUCUUUCACUUCCAUAUGCUCACCUAAGUAUAGAAACAUAAAUUUAAAGGAUUAAGAGCAUCAAAUUCACUAAUUCACAAAAUAAAUCAUCCAAAAACAUGCCAAGCAUGGGAUUAAAACAUGUUACUUUUAUGGUUUGUCAAAUAUCGAAAGAAUUUUUUAAAGUUAUCAUCCUCUACGUCAACAAUUUAAAAAUCUGUAGGAAGGAUUAGUUCAUUUACCUUGACGAGGACAUCUUCCAACACCCCUUCCAGAUACACAACUGACCUAUCUGCUAAUUAGAUGAUCACCUUUGUUUCUUUUAAGGACCCGUGUUUAAUAAUCUAAAAAUAGAUAAAUGCAUAAAGCUAAUAUUUACAUAAAUCACAUAUGGCCAUUUUAGUGCAAACAUUACUUAAUUUGCAAGAUAUAGCAAGCAUACCUUGGUCCUUACACUUAGGCGAAAUUUUUCUUUGUAAAACUGCAGAGACGUUUUCUCUUACACCUACUAUUUCAUUACCCAUGAGCUUCUUCUUGCCAAUGCAUAAUUUUUUUAAGAAUUUAACAUAGUGUGGAAUUUAACUGAUGUUGAAGAAUCAGCGGAUGAGUUGUGGUUAGGGGUGAAAUGCCACUCGAACCCAGAGCUAGCUGGUUCUCCCCGAAAUGCGUUGAGGCGCAGCAGUUGACUGGACAUCUAGGGGUAAAGCACUGUUUCGGUGCGGGCUGCGAGAGCGAACGUCUCUAGGAUUUCUCUCUUCUUAAUCCCUUUUACAUUGGGUGAACCUUCCAAGGAAUGGGGGUGGUACUACGGAUGGUUUUUGUGUUGCUGAUUUCCUAGUCACUGCUAAAUCAUGUUUCUGUUCUUCCCAUCUAGUUUCGUGGUUAGGAUUCUACUAAGUGUUGUCCCAAAAAUUGUUCCACUUUGUAAGGUCAUAGAACAUAUAUUUUGUAGUGGAUUUGGCUCAGUUUGAGAUGGCAAUUUCCCUUGAGACUCCAACUGACUGACUGUAAGUGCAAACUUACUUAUUUUUUGAUCUACUUCUUGUAGGUACACUUCAAUCUUUUGUUGGAACUUUUUGGUUUUAACGACUAACCUUUCCACUAUGGUUUCAAAUGAUGACUUUGAGGGUUGAAAUUGUUGAGGAAGAGGAAGUCUUGGCUGAUACAAUUGAUUGUAUCAAGGGUUCAAUCCAUACCUCAAAUUUGGGUGAUCCCUCCACCCUUCAUUGUAAGUGUUCAAAUAUGGAUCAUGACACCUUUGAAGUGGCGUUGAGAAGUUCCCAAUGACAUCUACUUGUGUUGUUGUGUCCUCGUGUAAGAUUGGACACGAAUCUGUCGAAUGAUCAAGCAUUACACAAAUCCCGCAUAACCAAGCUAGGUUUGUUUUUCCUAUAAGAAAAUUUAGAAGUAUAAUAGUGAGCUUGUCGAUUUUAUCUCCUAAGGAUGAAGUACUUAGCUCGUGAAUCCUUUUUGUGGUUUCUUUAGUUAGUUGAAAUUAUUGAGAAUUUGCAGCAAUGGUCAAAAUUAAUUCCCUUGCUUUUUGAGGAGUCAUUUAACAAGUUCUACUCCACUUGUGGCAUCAAUAAUUUUCAUUUCCAUAGGGAGUAACCCCUUAUAGAAUUAUUGAAGAAGUGAUUAUUUAGUUAAGCCAUGUUGUGGGCAACUUGUACACAAUUUCUUGUAUAGCUCUCAGUAGUUAUAGAGCGAUUCAGUCUCCUUCUAUUGUAUUUUGGCAGUAUCUCUCUUUAAUUUGGCUACCUAAACUAUUGGAAAGAACCUGUCAAGAAAAAACGAGACAUAUCAGACCAUGUGUUAACAGAUCCUAGAGGUAAAUAAAAUAAUCAUUCUCUAGCAAAGUCAGGUAACGAAAAAGGAAAAGCUCAAAGUUUAAUUUGAUCCUUAGUUACUACAUGUGGUUUCAUGCUUAAGCAAACCAUGUGGAAUUCCUUAAGAUGAGUGUGGGGGUUCUCGUUUUCCAAAUCGCGAAAAGUGGGCAAUAAAUUAAUUAAGCCCGAGUUUAAUUCAAAUGUAGUUCCUCCCAUCAGUGAGUUAUGCAUAAUGGUUGUUGCUAAUCCGGUGCCAUAGCCAGCUGACGUAUGGUUUGAUUCACCAAUUCUUCUGGUUCAUUGAGUGUAUUAUCUAUUACUUCCAUGUAAGAUAGUGUAAGAUAGUGUUUCAUAUUUGAUAUCUCUCACUUACGGUUGUUUUUCGUGUCAAAUAACUUCUCUUCAUAGUGUUCGAGCUAAAUUCUCAAUCUCUAGUUCAAACUCUGAAAUUCCCGGUUUUGACAUGAUCAUAAGUAAAAUAAAUAAAACUAGUAUUAUUUCCAAUCCCCGACAAUGACACCAAAAUUUGAUGGGCAUCGAAACCAUAAAAUAUAAUUUCUUAUGCUCUAACUUAGUUAAAUAGUAGUAUAGAGUAGUAGGGUCGAUCCCACAGGGACUAGGACUCCUAAUUUUUCUGUUUACAUAACCAAAUUCCUAAGUCUAGGUAGCUGUCAAGACCAUGACUUGUGCAUUGCAGAGCUGGAAAAAAAAAUAAAAGAGGGAUUUUAGUUGAUAAAGAAAAUAAAUAAAUAAAAAUAAAAACAUAAAGUAAAACAAUAAUAGAAUUAUGAUUGCAAAAUAAAAUUAAGGAAAUUAAAUAAAAUCGAUGAAUCAAAUUAUUAAUGCCUACCCUUAGCCUUGGUACACUCCGAAAUCAAAAUGAUCCUUAAAAGUAGAUUUUCCUUUCCAAAUGAUAAGUUGGUUAUAGCGUUCAAGGACACCACAACCGCCAAUUUUUCCUUGUGUAGUUGGUUCCAGUAUAACUUGCGAACCAACCCUUACCAAUUAUCUAACCAUGUAACACGCUCUGCAAUUUACGAUCUCAGCAACCUUGCAAUCUAGAAAAGCUAAACUCGAAUUAAUGGCCUGAACCGCGUGGGUCGUUUAAAUCUGAUCACUAUCUCCCUUAAUGAAGGUUCAACUAGCCCUUAUCCACAUGGAUACUCCAAUUUGUUCACGGGAACUCGAACUCAGCAGACGACCGACUUGUUUUCCAACUAUACGCCAAACAACUCCAGCCCAACGUGUAACACCCCGAAUUUGGGCCUAGAAGUAGUGGGCCUUGAGUGCGGGUCCGUAAGGAGGUUGUAUAUAGGUAUUUAAUUGUGCAAUGAAAUGACACAAUUAAAUGUUUGCUUUAGUGGUUAAUGGCUUUGAGAAGUGUUGGGGAAAUCUUGGGUUCAAACUUGGGCUUUAGCAAAAAUUUUGGUAUUAAGAGAAAAAAAAAACUGGAUGCUUGGAUGAGGGCUUUUAAAUUAUUGUGUUAAAUAAAUGACACAAGGAAGCUUGUAGUCUAGUGGUUGUGGCGUCAUUAAGGUUGUAUGAGAGCCUGGGUUCAAGCCUUGGCUCUUGCAAUUUAUUUUGGUUUUUUUAGGGAACCUGGACUUUGGCCUUUAGACGCUAUAAUUAAUUGGGGAUAAAAUAUGACAUAAAAAGCCUUGUGGCUUAGUAGCAAGUAGCGUGUGGAGCAACUGAGGGAAGGCAUGGGUUCGAAUCCCAUGGCAAGCAAGGAGCAUUUAUUUUGCUAACAGGGGGCGGCAAGAGUUGGUGUUGAAUUUAAACUCUGAUGUUGGAGGGAUCCCACAUCGGGAAGCUAACAUAAGAGUGGUUGCGAAGCUGGCUUUAAAUAGAGAGAACCAUGAGGAGAGUAAAGGUACCUUUCUUGGCUGAUCCCUUUCGCUGUAUGGCGUGCUCGUUUGGGUUGGGCGUCGGCUAAGAGUGCUCAGAGCGUGGAUUAACUCCAGUCUCCUAACAGGUGUGUAUUUCUCACUACUCUAGCUAUAGGAUGGCUAUUUCGGGCCGCGAUGGGCCGAAAGGCGCCAUGUGGGCCCAAUGGGCCUAUGGGCCCAAUUGGAUAAGUUGUUUGAUUGUGUAGUAAAUAUUGGACUAGGCUAGGUAAAUCUCAUAUUUGUGGCUAGAUUUGGGCUAAAAGGGUCACACGAGCAUGUGGGCCCAUUUGGGUCGAGAAUAGGCUUUAGGCCUAUUUGUAUUGUUAUCACUGUUUAGAAUACUUUAGUUUACCAAAUUACUGAAAUGCCCUCAAUUUGUAGAAUUACCAUUUUACCCUUGAUUUAUAGAAUUACCGUUUUACCCUCGAUUUAUAAAAUUACCGUUUUACCCUCGAUUUACAGAAUUACUGUUUUACCCUUGAUUUACAGAAUUAUCGUUUUACCCUCGAUUUACAGAAUUACCGUUUUACCCUCGAUUUAUAGAAUUAUCAUUUUACCCUCGAUUUACAGAAUUACCAUUUUACCCUCAAUUUAUAGAAUUACCAUUUUACCCUUAAUUUGUAGAAUUACUGUUUUACCCUCGAUUUACAAAAUUACUAAAAUACCCUUGGUUUACAAAAUUACCAAAAUACCCUCGAUCAGUAAAAUUACCAAAAUACCCUAGUCUGUAAAAUUGCUAAAAUACCCCUAGUUUGUAAAAUUACCAAAAUACCCCUAGUUUGUAAAGUUACCAAAAUACCACUGGUUUGUGAAAUUACCGAAAUACCCUCAAUUUGUAAAAUUACCAAAAUACCCCUGAUUUACAAAAUUAUAGAAAUACCCUUAACUUUCUAAAAAUUAUAGAAAUACCAUUAGUUUACAAAAUUACUGAAAUACCCUUGGUUUGUAGAUUUACCAAAACACCCUUGUAGGAUGGAAUGACUACAAUACCCCUAAUAGGUAAAAAGACCGUAAAGCCCCUGUAGGGUAAAGUGACCGUAAUACCCUUGUAUGGUAAAAUGACGAAUAUGCCCUUAUGUUCCGUAUGACUGAUGUGCUUAGGAUUUACAUAUAUUGAUAUUAGAUUAGUUAAGUUUGAGUGACAGGUGGUGGUUAUCGUAGGUGAUUGAUUAUGGAAACGUUUCAACUUCAACCCAUAACAGGUGUGUACUAACCCUCGUAAUAGCUUAGAUUAAUAUUUGCUGAGAAGCUGAAAUGCUAAAAUAUCGGUAUUUCGGGAACUUGUAAUGUUGUGUUUGGGUAUAGAUGCGAUAAAUACGAUAUGAUCGGUGUUUGGAUCGGUGGAAUAGGCAAGAACUCAAUUUUGUGCACGAUGGUAAGUUGGGCCUCAAUGGGCUGGAAUCGGGCCCAAUGGGCUUCGUGCCCAUUUGGGUAAAACUGAUAGAAAAUGGAAUCUUGAAAAGUUGCAUGUUAACACAGUUAGUACUGCUAUAAAAUUUGGAUUAUGUGGGCUUAAUGGGCUAAAUCGGCAUUCGUAGGGCCCAUUAAAGGUUUUGGGCCCAAAAGCCCGAGUUUGAUAAAGUGGGUUAAAGAUCAUUGUUUAAACACUCGGAAAUAUUGAUAAUUGUUGAUGAAUAUGGAAAACCCUGAUAUUUGGUAAAAUUACGAAAUUACCCUUAUAAUGUGAAAAUAACUAUUUUGCCUCUAGGUAAAAAUGACCAUUAUACUCCUAGGGUUUAAUUAUAAAUUUGAUACGUGGGGUAUGAUAUACAUGAUUGAUAUGAUAUGCACAUGAUAUGUAUGACAUGCACAUGAUAUGUAUGAAAUGCACAUGAUGAAUUCAUAAAUGCAUUGGGUUGGGUUUUUAUAUGGAUGGAGGAAGUGCAAAAGGGCUUAUGCCCCAGUUUAUUGAAAAGGGCUUAUGCCCCAGUUUACCGAAAAGGGCUUAUGCCCCAAUUUAUUGAAAAGGGCUUAUGCCCUAGUUUACCGAAAAGGGCUUAUGCCCCAGUUUAUUAAAAAGGGCUUUGCCCCAGUUUACCGAAAAGGGCUUUGCCCUAGUUAUUAAAGAGGCUAGGCCUCCAGAUAUAUGAUAAAACAGCUAUGCUGCCAGUUUUCGUAAACUCAACCCGUUUCUAACAGUGCAGGUAAUCCCUAAGCUUAAAUGAUUUGGAGCUGUGAGGGACUCGGAGAUGGCCACACUACUGUUUCUGUUUCUUUUAAUUGCAAUAAGUAGCCGAUUUAUUUCUUUAUAAGUUUUAUCUUAUUAAUAUUAUUUUUUGGUUUUGGGUUGUAAUAAGGCCAUUUUAAUUAUUUUUCUGGGAUUAUUUUAUUUUUAAUAACUUUAAUUUGUUUGUUAAUAAAUGGGCUAGACUUAGGAUGUGUUUUCAAAAUGAUAAUUUUUUUCAAAAUAACACCACGCCACGAUUAUCCGAUUUAUCAAAGGUUUCAACUUAAAUAAAUUACAACUUGAUUUAACCAAGUGUGGCAAUGGUUGUGGGCAUGUCCAAGAUUGGAUCCAUUAGAAGAGCUUGGUACUUAAGCAGCCUUCAUGGCUUACCUCUUCUAUUACGGAUUCCUUCCUGGUGCCUAGCUCCCAUUCACUUUGUUAGCUUAACAAAAGUCGAUUUUUAAAGCACUAAAACGAAACAUGGAUUUUCAACUUCAAUGUGGCACAUCAGAUUCAGCCAUACGUCUGGGCCGGGUUUGCGGUGUUACACAACGCGCGCCUUUUGAAUUGAAAUUGAAUUAAAUCUAAAGGAUGAUUGUGACUAUCCCAUAUACUAGAGAGAUAACAAAUAUUUUGUUUGAAAUGUUUUAGUGUGGGUUCAUAUCUCACAAUUCUCAAUAGGAAUGAAACUGGACUAAGGCUAAAUAAGGUUUUUAGUUGAGCAUGAAAUUAAUCAUACUCAAUGGAUUAUUAAAAUGGAUUUAAUUAUAAUGGUGAUAGGUGGAGGAAGGAAGGGACUUAAACGGUAAUUGAACCAAAAAUAAGAAAAAGAAAUAAAAUGGCAAUAGGCUUUUGCCAAUGUUACAGAUGUGUGAAAAGGAAAGGGAAAAUUGUAUUGAAUUCAAUUCAAGUGUCUCUUUCCAACCCACUAACACAAGUAUUUAUACACUUUUCAAGUGUUAUAUUUAGCAUGAAUCAGCCAACUAAAAUUAGCAUGAUUCCUCUAAUAUUAUGCCUACUAAAAUCAUAUUUUUCCUAUUUAUAGAAUUUGACAAUUUCAGAAAUCUGAUUUAAUUAGCCACUAAUUUUGUAAAUUUUUUAAUUUAAGCCCUUUUCUUUCUUCUUAUUCCGAUUUAGUCCAUUUUGCUUUCUUUUGAAUUUUGGCACUCCAAUUUAAUCCAUGAAAGAUUUAAGCAAGAAAUCAUAAGUUUGGUAGUAUUCUAUUAAAAGUUAGCCAAAAAUAGAUACAUUAAAAGCACAAAAUUAAUUGUCUAUCAAACCUAGAAACAAAAGCUACCAAAACUUUUAAGUAAAAAAUAAGUAUAAACAUGAUUUAUACUAAUCCAUACUAAGACAUAAUCUAGGCAUAUCAUGAAUCAAACCAAGUCCAAACAUCAACCAAACAUAGUGCCUAGCAUAUACCACAUCAUCCAUGAAGACAUUAAGCAAUUAACUAAAGCAAACAUCAAGCUAUCAAGAAAAUGACCAUUGCCAUCACAUUUAUACAAAUUUACAUAACCUUUAAGAGCCAACAAAACUCAAUAUGAUCAUAAGAAGUAUAACACAUUCUAGGUACAUGCCAAGACAAAAAAAACAACCAUUCACCAACACUAGAGUUCGGGAUUGUUGUUGAAUGCUGUAUUGACAAUCAAUUCUUUAAGUACCUAACUUGUGCAUGGAAAACAAAACUGUACAUUGAAUAUAACUUAUUGGUAUUUCUAUAAUCCGAACAUUUAAAAUAUAAUAGAAGUCAUAAUUAUCCAUAAACUUAGUAAAAAUAAUAAGCAAUAUGAAAUCUCAAUAGCCUAAUUCACAAUGUCAUUAAUCCCAAUAUGUUCAUUGGCAAUUAUUAAGACAAUAUAACCACCUUUCAUAGUCAUUAGCAAUUUCAACCAAAGUAAUGACACAUUUCAUCUCAAUUUCUCAUUCAAGUGAUCAUUAAACACAUACAAUCAAUAUUCAUAGUGUAGCCCACUAUUUCAUAUCCCCUUUUCACAUUUCAUUUCAUUCAGUAACAUUUGUUAUUUCAAUAACGUUGUCAUUUCCAUAUCAUUUUCCAUUUCAAAAUCGUUGUCUUGAUUUCACCAUUACUUUCCUCUAUUAACACAACUAGGACUCGAAUGGAUACAUGGAUCCAACCAACACACCAAAUUGGCACCCGAUGCCUGACAGAUAAAUCUAUAAUAAUGAAUUGUGCCCUACCCUGGUUGGUAAACUGAAAAAUAGAUGUGCUCAACACUAGUCGGUAUAAUCGACAAAUGAGGUGCCUAGCACUCCCCGACAUGUAGUAGUAAAACCCUAAACUCUUCUUAUCCUAUGGCAUGCCAAUUAUACCCGACCCUUCCUAAACAGUUAAUAGGUAACAUAUUUCUCGUUUCAAUCAUAAACCAAUUCCUCAAUUCUUAACAGAGUCUUAUCAAUCCAAUGAUUCAACCAUAUAUAAUCAUAUACAUAACCACAUAUUUCGUUUCCAUAUCAAAAUCAAUUUCACAUUUUAAUUAAUAUUUAAUAUUUCUGCAUCUAUUCAUAUAAUCCUUAACACAAUUAACAAAUUCAACCACUUCAAAACAUCUCAUCGAAUCAAAUUUUAUAGCUUACCUUAUAACUUACCAUGCAAUGUAAUGUAAAAAUGCAACAAUUGAAACAAUUCGAAUUAUAGAAACACAAGCCAUAAGCUCUGAGCUAUUUGUCAACAACAUUGUCUUUUCCUUUCUUUCUUAAGGAUUUUGGGUCAAUGUUAGCUACGGAUUAACACAAAUACAAUAAAUUAACACUACAUAACCCAAUUCACAUUCAAUUGCUAAAUUAUAAAAAAUUUGCAUAUUAUUCAAUUUUAAUCCCUAGAACCGGGACUAACAUAAAUUUCACAAUUAACCCCCAAACUUUAUGUCAAUUUUCCUAGAGUCCCUAUACAAUUUCCUAUUUCUCAAUUACACCCUAAAUUUUGAAUUUUGCAUAAUUUAGUCAUUAUUGUACAAAAUCAUCAAUUGAAUUUACAAAUUAGUCUUAUUUCACUUCUAACCUUAAAAUCUAUCAAAAUAACACCUCAAACUUCAAUUAUUUAAUAAUAGCAAUAUCUUAAAUCUUGAAAAAUAUCGAAAAAUACAAUAUGGGUUAGCUAGCUUGUAUUACCAGGGUUCCAAAAACAUAAAAAUUACAAGAAAAUAAACUAAAUUGACUAACCAAUUAAAGUUUGAAACUUUUGAAACCCUUCAUGUCAUACGUUUUUCUCCAUUUUGUUUUUGCUUCGAAAUGGUUUGGAUGAAGGGAGAAUAAUGCUUCUCUUUCAAACUACUAUACUAUCUUUUAGUUUCUUUUAAUUUUAUUAUUUUAACAUUAAUUUAACUAAAGUUUAUAAAAUAAAAAAUAUAUAUAUAAAACUAAGUUUUGACCGGCCACACACAUAUAUUCUUAUAUAUGGUUUAUUUACUUUGUAAGUCCUAUGUAUUAAAUUCUAAUUGUAAUUCCUUAAUAAUUCUUACUUUAUUCACUUAUGCAAUUUAGUCCAUGUACUCUAAUUAAACACUAUUUCGAUGAAAUUACCAAUUUUAAAUUCAAUUCACUUCUAAAAUAUCUCCAAAAAUAUUUAAUAAAAAUAUUUAUCAAUCUAGUUUAUGAAAAUGGGGUCCCAAUAUUACACUUUCCGGUACCAUUAACUUCCGGGUCGUUACAUAUCAUACAUAAGAUUGAGGUCAUAAUCAUAUGGAAAAACAAAGGGCUUUCCGAUGUAAUCAACAUAAUUUUGCUCUUUAUUUUCAGGCAGCCAAUAUCUUUAACCUUUCAUUUUUAUUUGAAAGCUAACACCAUGGUGGACACAAAAGGUCUCUCAGGCAAACUGCAUAUGUUUUGGUGGAAGUAGAGGUUAAACUCGGAUUGGCACGACAACUAUUGUAGUUAUUGAUGAGUUUUUUAAUAACAACAACUAUUGUCACAUUGAAAGGAGCAUCACCUUUACUCCACUAGAACAACCGCUACCCAUUUGAGACUCCUCCUACGUCCACGGUAGUGCUGACCUUCAUAGGAAACCCUAUAGUUUUCUCUAUGAUUAUGCCCUCAAACUUUUACAUGGUAUUUAUACGACUAUUUUUUCAAGUUUUAUCAACAUUGAGGCACAAUAUGCUGGGGAUGAAGGUGUUGCGAAAUACAUACCUGCAAGAGGUGUAGAUACAGGAUGCUACACUGGUGCAUAAUUUGGUGCUUGUGAAAAAAACAUGGGGUUAGUAAAAGGAACAUGAAUAUAUAGAGGGAAAUGACUAGGAUGUGGUGUAGAAAUUGAUGGCCUUUGUUGGGUUGGAAUCGAUAAUGAACCCGUUGCUACACUUUCAGACAUAUGAUGUUAGGGCGAUCACCGUGGCCUCUUCAGAUGAGGUUGUCUACUCCUCAGCUCCACCGAAAAUAGAUAUGGCUUGUCGGUGACUUUAAACCAAGGCAUGUACUCCAAAAAGUCACCUGUUCAAUGAGAAAAAGGUUCGUAAACAGGUAAGAAAUUCAUUCUUUGAUCCCAAAUUUCGAUAUACUUCUUGUGGAAAUCUUGCCAAUUUUUGUUGGUUUUCCCCCGCAAAUCAAGCUUCUGCGGUACUUACAUGUCUCGCAAUGGUGGCAAAACUUUUGCCUCCACUCGAACUACUGCAUCACUUAACCUGAUUUGUGCAUCUCCACCAUCACGUAAACUAUCAAUGGCACAUUUGCAUUCCACAUACUCUAAAUGGCUAAAAAUUCAGGUGAGAUGAAUUCUAUGAUAUUCAGAUUGACAUAUGAUAUUCAUUCAAACUUUAGUGUACAAUUAUACAUUUUUUUAUCUACAAAAUGUUAAAUUCCAAAUCAUUGCGUAAUUGUAACAACCCAAUUUCAAUAAAAUCGGAACAGUGGUUUGGGACCACAAAUCCAAGCCGAAAAUAAAUUUUAUUUUUAUUUUAUUAUAUGGUCCAUAAUAUGAUAGAAAUUUCAUGUGAAAAUUUUAAUAAGAAAAUUUUAUCGGUUAUGUGUUUAAUUACGAGAAGGACUAAAUCGUAUAAAAUGCAAAAGUUGAAUUCUAGUAGCUAUAAGGAUUAAAUAGCUAUGGAAUUUAAAACUUGAGGCCAUUAUAUGACAAUUAGACCAUUAAAGAAAGUAUGUAGAUAUUUUUGUGACUCAUUCAUGGAAAUUUAGAAAAAAGGCAAGGACUUAAUUGGAAAGUGAAAUAAUUUAAUUAAUUAAAAGAUGAUAAAAAGAAAUAUCAUAUUAUUUCAUCAUCUUCUUCCCCAAAAAAAUACAUGGAAACCCUAGCAGAGAGAGAAGAAAAUUUCGUGGCCAAAGUGGGUAAAUUUCCUUUCCCGUUUUUAGUAAUUUUGAUAUUUUUGAAACUGGGAUAGCUUAAUCUAUCUAUUUGGGGGAUUAAUUUGAAAAGUUAUCAAAGUAUGAAAAUUAGGUCAUGGAUGUAUAUGCUGAAAAUUUGAAAUUUAUGGUAGAAAAUGAAAGGUUGAUGAUAGAUAAACAACUUUUACAAAGUGAUUUUUGAUGAAAACAUGAUUUAGGGACUAAAAUGCAAAGUGGUGAAAAUUGAUGAAAAAUUCUAAAUUUUAUAGAAAAUAUGUGUUGUAAAUUAUAUAUUGAAAUUUUGGUUAGGCUUGGAAUAGGGAGAAAAUUACAUAAAUUUCAUUUUUCGAGCCUAGGGACAAAAUGGAAAUUUAUGGAAAAGUUAAGGGCAAAAUGGUAAUUUUGCCUAGGAUGUAAAUUGAGUCUACAUGAAUGUGAAAUGUGAUAAAUUGACGUUAAAUUUACUUGUACAGAUUCGGAUAGACCAAAUUCAGAGUUAGAAGGAGGAAAAGAGGAAAAUGUCUGAUUUGUAGAUGUUAUGUACACGAACAUUUGUCGAGGUAAGUUCGUGUAACUAAAUUGUAUUUAUUUACAUGCUUGCAUUGAUUGUGUUUAUGUAAAUUGUAUAAAUGUCAUAAAUAUGUGAAAUGAUUACAUAUCCGAUCAAGCCCGAUAAAUAAAAAUGUUUAAAUUAAAUGAUAAUGCCCGAUAGAUAAUAAAUGAUAAACGAUGAAAAUGUUACUUUUAUGCUUGGAAUGAAUGUGGAAUGUGAUCAUUUGAAUUAUAUGGAUGAUUAUAGAUGUAUGAAAUAAUCACAUGCCUGGUAAUACUUGAAAAAUGUUAAAUUCCGUUUGAAUAAAUGAGAAUCGAUGGAUAAAUGUGAUUUCCCGAAAUGAAUGAGGUCCUAAAUUUGUUGCCGGUGGGAUUUAGCUCAGACGAGUAAUCCUAUUGACCUCAUUUCUGAAAGGAUUUAGCCCAGACAGGUAAUCCUAAUAUAAGCCCUCUUGAGCAUAUAUUAUGGAUUGGAUUUAGCCCAGACGGGUAAUCUAGAUCAAGCUCUUUAGAGCAUAUGUCAUAAAAAGAAUUUUGCUUGGACUGGUAAUCCUGUUGUAUAUAUGUGUGGCUUGAGAGUUUACUCUCUGAAAUAGUACCUUAUGGGUACCAUUGAAUAUGAAUGGACGGAUCCUGAUUUAUACACCUCGAGUGUACUACCUGUGUAACCAUCAAUAUUUCAGAUAAAUUCAACGGGUGAAAAUCUUGACAUGAGAAGAUAUGAAUAAGAAAUGAGUUAUUACACGUAUCAAUCUGAAAUACAAGAAAAUGAUGAUACAUGAAAAAUGAUAUAUGAAAACAUGAGAUGAUGAUAAUUGUACAUGGACUUUAUUUGACGAAUAUAUGUUCAUUCUUGAUUAUUGACUUAUACACCUUGAGUGUACUAAUCGUGACCUUGAUAUUUCGAGUAAUAUGGGUAAUGUUCUGAUAUGAAACGAUCUGAACUCGAAAUGAACUAGUUUGAAAUUAUACUUGUAAUAAUGAGAUGAAUUAUGCAUGCUGAAUGAAUGCAUGUUGUGGAAAGCAUAUGUGCCUGGAAACUUGAUUGUUGUUGAGCCCAUAUAUGUUUUGAUGUUAUUAUGGAAUAUAUGACUAACAAGGGCAAUGAGGAUGUGUGCAGGGCUUGAGGCUAAAUUGAUUGAAUAUGCCUUACAUAGUUACCUCAAAAUAGAAUGAAUGGUAAGUUAAGUACCAUGUUAUACGAACUUACUAAGCAUUUUAUGCUUACUUAGUUCUAUUUCCCUGUUUUAUAGUAAAUCGAAAGCUCGUUAGAUUAGAAGCUUGGCGGAGAUCACUCACACUAUCCAUCGGCCCAUGUCGGUACAAUACGGUAAGACAAUUAUGGUUACAAUGGCAUGUAUAGGUUAUAUUGGUCAUAUUGGCAUGUAAAUGUAAAUGAUUAUUGUAAUCUAGCCAUUGGAAUGGCUAGUGAUGAUUAUGUUUUGGUAUAUGUAUAUAUAUGUAUUUAAGUUUACUUUAUGGAGAUAACAUAAGUAUUUAUUAUUGAUUGAUUUAGAAAGGUAAGAUUUAAGCGUGAAUGCAUGUAACAAUAUAUCAUGUUUUGGUAUAUGUAUAUAUAUGUAUUUAAGUUUACUUUAUGGAGAUAACAUAAGUGUUUAUUAUUGAUUGAUUGAGAAAGGUAAGAUUUAAGCGUGAAUGGAUGUAACAAUAUAUCAUGUUAGAUACUAUAAAUUGCUUGGAUUCAAUGCUUGGGCUAGUUGGUAUUUGGAUGUAAGUUUGGUGCAAGAAUUUGGUAUGAUUUUGGGUGAGAAAUGAAGCUAGGAAUGGCUUUAUUUUGUCCAUACGGGCAGACACACAAGUGUGUGUCUAGACCGUGUAUGCCACACGGUCUGGUAAAUGGACGUGUGGUUAGGCCGUGUAUCCCAUACACCUUAAAAUUAAGAAAAUAGAAUGCUCAGAAUUGAGCACAUGGGCGUGUGUCUCAGCCAUGUGUGCUACACGGCCUAAAACACGGACGUGUGCCUUGACAGUGUGAAAUGUGCACCUAAUUUCGAAAGAAUUUAAUUAACCACAGGGCCUAGCACAUGGGCGUGUGGCAUGGCUGUGUGCACAAGUCAGAGAGUUACAUGGGGUCAAACACAGCUUGUGGCACGGGCGUGUCCCUUGGACCACAUGGGCCUGUGAGCCCUGUAACUUAGAAAAAAAUUUUAAUUUCGCGAAAAAUUCUUAGAGUUCCAGAUUAAGUCCCAACUCGAUUUUAAUGCUCAUAUUGAGCCUCGAGGGUCCAAUUACGAGACGUUUUGGAUGAUUUUGGAAAGUGAAUAGUAAUUGCUAUAAAUUAUCUGAAAAUAUUCUAAAAAUUUUGGUAAUACUCUGUAACCCUGUUCCGGUAACGUACACGAGUUAGGGGUGUUACAAUAAUUAUUAUAGGUUUGAAAAAGAUCAAUAACUAAUCUUACAUUCCGAACGUUGAUCUAACAACAGUUGAAUAACUUUGAGCUACUCUGGUAGUUUGAUAUAGCUCGACCCAUAAUUCUACCUACUCAAAUAAUAUGUUAAUUCAAACAUAUAAUAUAUAAAUAACAUUUAUUCUAUUAACUAUAUAUUAUUAUCAAAUGAAUUUUACCUUGUCAUUAAUAGGAAUGUAUAAGGGUCAUUCACUCAAGGACGUAAGAAUGGUAGUCGCCACCAUGCCCAUGACUGCAGCAAGAGUAGCCAACAAUCGAUUGACAUCUUAUCUAGUUUUGUCGCCUGAAACAACUCCCUAUACAAUAUGGCUAAUACAGUUGAUCCCCAACUCAGUCGUCUGCAUUCUUUGAAGUCUAUUAGGUGUAGUAGCCGCCUUACGUGUAAUAAAUUUCUAGAUUUAUCGGGCAUUAGAACACCCUUGAUUAACCUCAGGAUGAAUGCUCAGGCGUAUUAUUCUUUUUCGAUGUCAUUCGUGUCCUUAGGAAUAUUUUUGAAAUUAUUUUCCAACCAUUUCAUGUAUUUUCGACCACCUUGAAACUUGUUCAACACCUUUCCCAAAAAUGCCUCACAAAGGUCCUCUUUACCGGGAACAAACACUAACCCCGUAAUGAUUGACCCAUCCACCAGUAAACCGAGUUGUAAAGCUAUGUCCUUGAGUGUUAUUGUACACUGUACACUUACUGUAUGAAAGACGGAUUGUGUGUGUGUCUCAGGUCUCCAACUUUCUACCAACGCGCUAAUAAGUAUAGGAUCCAAUUUGUAGCUCUUGAGCAUACGAGAUGCAUGUAAAAAUCUCGCAUCUUGCAAAUAACCACAAAUUUUAAUGUCUAGGCUCUAUGAAAAAUUGUGUAAGAACCAUUUAAAAACACGAUCAUCCUUCUAUUUAUAUAACCAGAAUAAAAUAUUUUUAAAAAUUUUAAAAUUUUAAAAUUAACUUAAUUGAAAAUAAAGAAAUUUAAAAUUUUUCCUUACCAAAAUUGAUUCAGCGGCGAAAAUGUGCUUAUCGUCGAAAUGAAUCAGCGAACUUUUCUUUCGUGAAAAUUUAAUCGAAAUGAACAAUCUACAAAAUAAUAAAAUAAAAAUAUAAUAUUGUUAAACAAAUGUAUUAUAAAAUUUCGAACAAAAUUUGAGAACUUUGAGAGAAUUAAGAGUUUAAAGAGAAUAGAGAGUUGAAUUUGAAUGAAAAGAAUGAAAAAUGACCUGGCGUUUAUAGGGAAAAAAAUAGUCGUUGCUCCUUAAAAAAUUUACUAUUGGCUUCGUUUAGAUUAUUGCCGUUAGGAAAUGACUAUUUGGAGGAAAGCAAGUCAGUUGGCAGGAAAGCAAGCCUAGUUGGACGUACUUUCACACACUCUCUCCAAAAUCGACUUAUUUUCUUAAAUUUUGAAAAAAAAAAGGACCUAUUUGGCCAAUUAAAAAAAAACAACAUAUACUUCUAAUUUAGCCAAUUUGUUACAAUUAUACAUAUAUUAAUAAUUAAUGUUUUGUAGUAUAUAGGUUGAAAUAUACCAUAAGUCCAUGUACUUUUAACAAAUUUAGAAUUUGGCCCCUAUACUUUUAUUUUCAAGAAUUUAGUCUCUUUGCUUUUCAGAUUUGAAAAUCAAGUCAAAUUGUUAACAUUGUUUUUUUUUUUUGUUAGUUUUGUUAAUGUCACAUUUUUAAAUAAAAAAAUACUCACUUUGUAGUUAUGUAAAGAAAAAAUGACAUUAAAAUGAACUUGAAUUUAAAAAAAAAUUAAUAGUGCUAACAGCUAAGCCUGAAUUUCGAUAUCUGAAUUUCGAUAUCUAAAAAGUAAGAUUAAAUUCCCAAAAAUAAAAGUAUAUGAAUUUACAAAAAAGUACAAGAACUUAUGACAUAUUUUAAACUAGUAUAAAAUAUGAAUAUUUUAAUUAUAUAAAUAUGAGCAUUUGUUUAAAUAAUGCUUUGCUUCAUUUAUCUCUUACAACUCUAAUAUGUGAAUAUGUACUCUCAUUUAUGUAAUAUAUGUAAUUUGAAUUAAGUUUUAAUUAAGCAUUAUUUAUUAUUAAGUUUAUAUAUGGCAUUGAUUAUCACAAAAUAUUAUAUUAUUAUAAAAUAAAUUAUGAUUGCUAAAAUGAAAUUGUACUGUAAUAUUUUGUAACAAAUAUAUUUAUAUUGUGUUUGUUUCAUAAAGAACAACUUUUAAAAAAUGAUUUCAGAAAAUUGGUUAGACAACGAAAAAUAUUUUAUAGAGAAUUAUCCAAAUACUAGAAAUAUCAUUGUUGCUGGAAAAUCAAUAUAUUUUCUAAAAUCAUUUUCGAGAAAUUAUUUCUAAUGAAACAGACACAACCUAAAUUUAAUUUCUAACUCAAAUGAUUUUAUUCUUUUAGUAAUUUCGUUUAAUUGAGAAAAAGUUUUAAUUGAAGAACAAAGCAAAACAAAAGUGUUUUAAUUUGAAGAGCAAAACAAAAUAAAAGAAAAGAAGAGAGUUUUAAUCAAAGAACAAAACAAAAUACAAAAUGGACAUGAAAGGCGAAAGCAUCAACAGGAAAAGUUGUUUGGACCUUUUAUUUUUGAAGUAUUCAGAUCUAAUAUAUUCUUAUAAAAAUACAAAAAAAAAUUAAAAAUAAAGUUUUGCUUUAAAUAUAUUAAAAAAAGUUAAAAAUUAAAACACUUUCGAUUAAAAUAGACACAAGGUCCGUUACUAAAAUGAAAAGGAAGACAAGUAUGUUGGGCUAAUAGAUACUGUUCCAGCGAGGAUGCUCCACUUGCACUUUAUUAUCGGUAUACGUUGAUUUCAUUUUUUUUUUUAAAGAAAUAGGUUGAAUUCCUAAAUGGUUUUGCUGACGUGGAGACAAAAGUGUUUCUUGUGAAACGCAUUUUAUGCAGAAAGAACUUUACAUUGACAUGUCAUAGUCCCUAGUUUAGAGAUUAAACCAUGGUGUUUUUUUACACGUAAAAUUCGUCUAUUUUCUUAAAUAUUUAAUAAUUCAAUUUAUUUCUUUAAUUUUUUUUAAGUUGGUAUAUACUGAUAAUUUUAUCUUUGCAUAUAUUGUCUUGGUGAGAGAUCGAAUCGACAUUCCUAAGAACAAUACUUCAAAAAAAUUUCUCAAAAGAGCCAAUCCCCCCUCAAUAAAUCUUAAUUUAGUAGUGCAAUUCCUUUUGUUUAUUUAAUAUUUAAUUUUUUAGAAUAAAUAAUUUAAUCUAAAAUAUGCAUCAUUAGUGGUUUAUUUAAAUAAUGCAAAUUUUCAGUGAGCUCAUUUCAUACAUAUAUAACUCUAAUUAAAAUCACAUAUAGUACAAGGACAUAUGUGCUAAAAUACAAGUUAUAUUAAAAUGUAAUUUUUUAUUACUAUAAAAGAAUGACAAAAUUAGACUCGAUAAAGCCAUCGUCGUCGGGCAACCCGAGGUGACAAGUCAUCGUUACUGUGCAAUUCGAGAUGACAUGAAUGAAUUAAAAAAACCAUAAUUGUCGAGCAAUCCAAGGUGGUAAGCCAUUAUCGUCAGGCAACCCGGGGUGGUAGGUCAUUGUUGCCGGACAAUCUGGGAUGACAUAAAUGAAUUAAGAAACCAUCAUUGUCGGGCAAUCCGGGAUGACAUAAAUGAUUUAAGAAAAUAUCAUUGUAGAGCAAUCCGAGGUAGUAAGCCAUUGUUACUGGGCAACCCGGGAUGGCUGUCAUCGUCAUCGAGCAAUCCGAGAUGACAUUAUGAAGUUAAUAAAGAUGAGUUCCAAGUUCGAAAACUUCAGUGGAAGCAGAAUGCAAAAUGAUGUUCAUGCAUACUUAAAAGAAAAAAAUAAAGUAAUUAGUGAUCAAAUGGAUGCUAAAACCAAAUGGCAAAGACCUUCGGUAUUAUUCUAAAUGCUUAUGGUUGAAUUGAUUUCACUAUACCAUCUUAAUGUAUAAAGAUAUAUGAUUGCUUACUUAUCGUGAGAUUUUACUCUUUCUGGUCAGGUUAGUUCUGUAGCUACAUUUUGAAACUCACUUCAGCAUCCAACCGAAGCCCAAGACUCCCUAAAGUUUGUAUUUCAUUUGGUUAUGUAAAUUGACAUGUACCUAGGGAAGUCACUUUAAAUUUUAUGUGGUUGAUGAAUGUUGAAAAUAUGUUUGAAUGUUUUUAAAGAAUGAUUAUUAUAUAGUUUUGUUGUUGUUGAUAAUGAUAGGUUAAGUUGUUGUGAGUCUUAUAGAUUGAUAAAUGUAUAUAUACAUAUGUAUAUGUGUGCUUUGACAAGUUGUUAAGUUAAUCCAUGACUUGAAAUAGAACCCUUGAAUUCAUGGUAUGUUUGUUUAAGGUUAAUAUUUGAUGAGUAAACUGGUUGUGUAUAAACUUGAUAUAUGUAAAUGUUUUGAUAUAAAUCUUGUAAGUUGUUGCUAUUGGUAAUAUGAUUAAUUAGUUGACUAAAAUUUUGGUAUUUUUAUUGCAAAUAUUGCAUAUGCAUGGUCAUUAUCUAACUCGACAUGAAUGGUAAUGCAUUUUAGAUUUAGUUCAUAAUGUGUGAAGGUGCCUUGAGGCAUAUUGGUUAGAAAUAGAAUAUAUUGUGUUUUGGCAUGGUUUUGUUUUGGACAUGUUUUAGGUAUGGGUUAUUGCAAAUUCAUUUUAGGUAUGGGUUAUUGCAAAUUCAUGACAUAGUUGAAGUGUUGAAUUAAUAGCUUGCAUAUUAAGGUACCUUUUGGCACACAGGCUAGCACACGGUUGUGUGUCGUACCCAGACAUGUAACAUGGCCAUGAAAUUGUUAUAAUUUGUUGGCUUCUAGGUUGACACAGCCUCAGCUUGUUACACGGGCUGGCCACACGCCCGUGUGGCACUGUAUAAUUGGUCAAGUGAUUUUUUAUACGGCAUCAGUCUGAUACACUAUUCAGGAACACGGCUGUGUGACUUUAAGUUGAAAAUUUUGCAUCCAGGUCCACACGACUUCAGUUAGUUGCACAACUUGGCUACAUGGUCGUGUGACUUCUUUACACAUGGCUUUAGUUAUUUACACGGCUUGGUGACAUAGUUGUGUGACUCUUUUACACAUGGCUUCAGCUUUUCACAUGACUAUGUGACCAUUUUUACUGAAUUUCCCUACUUUUUUAAGUUUUCAAUUAAUUCUUUAAUUGGUUCCAGGUUGGUUUAAGAGCUUUCAUAAGCUCGAUUAGGACUCAAAUUUAUUUGUAAAUCUUAUUAAACUUGGAAUACGAGAUGUUUUGUUGAUAUUAUUGAAUGUUAAAGCUGCAAAUGUUUGUGAAUUGUUCUGUUAACUGUUGUAACAUCCUGUAACUUAGGUCCAACGAUCAGACCGGGUAAAGGGAGUUACACGGACUUGGCGGUCGGGUCGGGUAAAGGGUGUUACACGACUUGCUACAUUUUGAAUGAUUUACGAACUAAGGCUGCACCUUAAACUCUAUACAAAUUGUGGCAUGGGAGGAAGCCAACCCUAAAACGUUUUAGGAUUUAGGGAUGCUCGACCCAUAUAUUGGAGAAAGAUACAAGGAAGUUAGAUUCAGGGAUAGAAUUGUGCAUAUUUGUAGGAUAUCCUAAAGAAACAAAUGGCAAUUUAUUUUAUAACUGAAAAAGCAAACAAUUAUAGUGUUACCUCAUACUACCUUCCUAGAGAAGAGUUACAUGAAUGAAUUUAAAUCUUGAAGUAAAGAAGUAAAUGAAGAACUUUCAAGAAAUAAAUAAAGUUCUAUAGUAAUGGUUUUGGAUCCAACUCUUAAUAGUAGGCCUACAAACAAUUAGUAGCAUAGGGAGCUUUGUUGCAGUGAGAAGGUCUCUCGUAGGCCUGAGUUCUUCCAAUCUGAAUGAGGUGUUUUUAACAUAGAGUAUGCUGAACAGGAAGAUGAUGACCAUAGGUCAUUUUUCAUUGUGAUAAAUGACUUGAUUACUAUUUGAUAGUAAUCGGCUUUUUAUGAAGGAAAAUGUAAUGGUUACCAUGAGAUCAAAUAGGAUCAUAUUGAAAGAACAAAUGUCCUAUGCAGGUAACACACUUAUGACAAGGUCAUUGGAUGAACACUUAUUAAGUAGCUUUCAUAAUGAUAUUUAAUAAGGGAAAGCUCAGUUACAAAACUUUAGUGGAAUGAUUUUAUGACUAAAUAAGUUUAUAAUUAAUAGGUGAAAACUAGAAUUUAAUUAUAAAUUACUUGAGCCCUAAUUAAAUAUGUCCAAUCGCCCCUUCGCUAGCUCGUUGAAACUAGAAAUGAACUGCAUGGUUAAUUAAAAGAACAAAAAUGAAUAAAAAUGAUGAAAUAAGAGAAAUGGGCCGCAUUCACAAAUGAAUGUCUUUUCUCGCUAAGUACAUAAAUUACUUGAGAGUUAAUUUAAGUUUUUUGAAUUUUUAUUUAAUUCAUUUUAGUGAAAUAAUUGAAAUCUGAAAAUAAAAUUAAAUUAAUUAGUCAUUAUGAAUCUGUUGAAUAAGGAAAAUAAUUAUAUUUCUUGGCCAAACCAAAAGCAACAAUCAAAUGGCACUACUUAACUAUAUUUAUUUAAGUUUUAGGUUAUUUAGACUUAGGGAAGACUCACACAUGAUAAGUGUAAACACGAAGCCAUAACUUAAAUUCGCAACUCCUAGGAAUUAGAUCUAAUCAAGACUCACUUAGAUCUGUAUACAAUAGAAAUUAUUCAUAAAAAAUUAGCCCCCUAAAGCCCCCAUAGGGUUCGGCAAUGCAGCAAAUUUUAACUGAAACUUCAAAUUUGAAGUGGAAAAUUAUCACUACCUUAACUUGCUUAUGAUGACUUGCAAACAAACUCCUCAACGUUACAGUUGAUCUAUAUGAUUUGGAUCCAGAUCUUGGAUAUUUAAACAGAAAGGAAAUGAUAACUAGUCAAAUUCGUCCAUAUCAAAAUAUAUAAAAUAAAAAAGAGAACUACUGAUACUCAAUUGAAGUAAACCAAAACUUCUGCACUCACAUAGAUCCGCGACGAUAGGAAAAUAACAAAGAGUAGAGGAAGAGGAAAAUAUAGGCAACAAUGACGAAAGGUGGUUGUGUAUUGGAGGACGAAUGGAGGGUGAAAAGUCUGCUGAUAUACAGAAAUGACAGUAAAAAAAGAAUAACAGGGUUCGACUUUUAAGAAGAAGGAAAGAUGACCAUAAAAAUAAAAUCAAAUGGGAGGAGGAGAAGAAAGAAAAUAAAAGAAAAACUGAGAACAGAGAGGGAGGAGAGGUAGGGGAUGGCAGAAGGGGGAAAAGAGUGAAAAAAAAAAACCUCAACACAAUAUUAAUUUAAUCUUUGUUUUUUAAAAAAAACUUGAUAGCUUUUAGAUAAUUCAGAUAAUUUUUUCUUUUUUUUUUCUUGAAUAAUCAAGUUAAUCAGGUUUUCCCGGAGUUUGAGUUAGACUGAAAUUUGACAACUGAUAGGGGGUUGGGCAACACAAACUUAAAGGAAAAAGAAUUUGUCAGUAAAGGGAAUCAAACUCGGGUCUCAAGGAUACUUACACUACUACUUAACCACUAAGCCAAUUACUCAUUCUUUUAAUAACCUUACGACAUUUAUUUUUAAAAUAAGACAUGACAAAUACUAGGGUUUGAAACAAAAUUUGCAAAAUAAUAAAAAUAGUGCGAGGGAAUGGAUUGAAACUUAGGUUUCAAGGACCAUUUCAAUAACACUUAACUAGUAGACCCGUAACUACAAACACAAUAUAAUUUAGAAUAUCAGGGCGUGACCACUCUCUCGGCUCACAAACUCGAUUCUACUAACCCACGAGUUUUGGGAUGUGACAUAGACUUAGUAUUGUAAAAAAACAUUUUCAUUAUUUGUUCCAUCCCCCUUGGUACGAUCCUCGGAAUACUUCCAGUAUUUUGUUGUACAACUAUAUUACAAUUUAACCCAUGCACUUGAGGACAUCGUCAUUAUUAAUUCUUAUAUUUUUUGUGUUAUAUUUAUUUUAUAAAUGAUAACUCGUUUAUAGGCAGUCACAACCCUGGUAAUAUUUACUGGGGACUGCUGCCCACUCCUACUCUAGUUAGAGUAGUAGUGUAUUUUCUAUUUAAAUAAUAUUAUUUAUUAAAGGCUUGUUCAACUAGGAUUUUCUACUUUUCUCUUUAAAUAGAAAGCACCAAUUGACCUAAAAAUAUACUUUAUAGAUUAUUGAGUUAUCGUUAUUCUUCUAGAAAAUAGUGGGAGUUUGUUCACUAAGAAUAAAUUCUAUUUUCUAGGAAUUACAAUCUUUUCUAAUUUUUAUAGAAAGGAUUACUUUCCUAAUAAAAAUAAUUAAUUCGUUUCUUUUUUGUUCUUUGGUUCUAUUGCUCGAGCCCAUACUCAUAUAUUACGAUGCUAUGUAGAGUGUUGAUUUCAAGCUCCGGGAAAUAGCUAUGAAAGUUGAGAUUAAUUUUAGGGCAUCUUGAAAAUGAAGGAGCCUGACAUAUUGAAAACUGCUUUCAAGACUCUGUAUGGGCAUUAUGAGUUUCUGAUCAUGCUGUUUGGUUUAACUAAUUCCUCUGCUGCAUUCAUGGACUUGAUGAAUAUUAUUUUCCAUUCGUAUUUGGAUUAAUUUGUGGUUGUCUUCAUAGACGACAUUUUGGUGUAUUCUCGUUCUGAAGAGGAUCACGAUGCACAUCUGAGGAUUAUUUUGAAACUUUUGCGGGACAAACAGUUGUAUGCGACAUUGAAUAAAUGUGUAUUGUAGCUAGAAAGGUAACAUUCUUAGGCCAUGUUGUGUUAGCAGGCGGAAUCCGUGUGGAUCCAAAAAAAAUUGAGGCUAUUUUGGAGUGGAAACCAUUAAGAGUGUCACUACAAGAAAAUAGGGCUUUAACGGCGUUUUAUCAAAAAACGCCGCAAAAAUUGUAAAACACAGAGUAAUAGCGGCGUUUUACCAAAAACGCCGCUAAAAAUGGAGCAAUAGUGGCGUUUUAGUAAAAAAACGCUGCUAAAAACAGAGCAUUAGUGGCACUUUUGGUAAAACGCCGCUAAAAACCAGAGCAUUAGCGGCGCUUUUGGUAAAACGCCGCAAAAAACCAGAGCAUUGGCGGCGCUUUCGGUAAAACGCCGUUAAAAACCAGAGCGUUAACGGCGCUUUUUGGUAAAACGCCGCUAAAAACCAGAGCAUUAUCGGCGCUUUUGGUAAAACGCCGCUAAAAGUCAUAUAACCCCUAAACCCCAAAAAAAUCAUAAACACUAAUCUAUAACCUCUAAAACAAUAAUUAUUAAAAUUUAUGGUUAUACAAUAUAUUAAAUAUUUUCUUAUAUAAUCGUAAAAGAGAUAGUUUUGAGUUUAAAAUAUUAAAUUAAUUAUCAUUAUAGUUUAAGGUUUAUGGUUUAAGAUAUAUGAUUUAGGGUUUAAGGUUUAAGGUUUAGGAGUUAACUAGUAUUUGAAGGUUUAUGAUUGAUUAUGGGUUUAGGGAUUAUAAUUUAGGGUUUAGGUGUUAGUGUUGGAGUUUAAGGUGUAAGGGUUUGGAGUUAAGGGUUUAGGGUUUAGUGUUUAUGGGAUAGGGGUUAAGAGGUUUAGGGUUUAGAUUAAUUAGUAUUUUUUAAUUUAUAUAUUAAACGAUUUCUUAUGUAAUUGUAAAAGAGAUAAUAUUAAUUUGAGUAUAUUAAACUUAUGAUUAUAGUUUAAAUUAUUUAAGAGGAUAAUAGAUAAACUUUAUAUAUAUAUAUUAAAUGGUUUAAGAUUUAAUCUAAAAAUAUUUUGAUAUAUUAAAAAUAAUUCAAUUCAAAUUAAUUCCUCUACACUUAAUUUAUUUAAGUGAAAUUUAAACUUAAAAUUUAGUCCUUAUAUUUUAAUUUGAUUAGUUUUGGUCCCUGUAUUUUUCAAAUCGAUCAAUUUUAUCUUUUGUGCUUUUCAAAAUUUAAAAUUUUAGUCAUGAUUACUCAAAUGAUAGCAAUUAUAUAUGUUUGGUUAAAUUCUGCUAUUAGUCUUGGUAUUGUGUGUAAAGUUGUAGGUUGAGUUCAUGUUAUCCAAUUAGAUCAUUCUUAGUUCCUAUACUUUUCAAAUUUUGAAAUUUUAAUUUUGACACAAAUGACAACCGUUAAAUCCGUAACUGGCUUUUUGUGAGUAAUAUGUUUGUUACAUUAGAUUUUAGAAAUAGCAAAACUUAAUGAAUUUAAUAGCUACCAUUUAAUUAAUACUACAAUUUCAAAUUUUCAAAAUUACAAUGACUAAAAAUAACAAAAUUAAAGUAAAAUGACUAAAUCCACAACUUACAUAUAAUUCAAUGACUAAUAGAAAAAUAAUAAUAAUUAAAAAUAUUUAACUUAUUUAUAUUUAAAAAAUUAAUAAAUAUCAAAUGAAAAUAACAUGUAUAUAUUUAUAAAAAAAUUAAAACAAUAUCAUUAGGUUUAAGUAAAUUUAUGUUAAGUAUUUAUAAAUAUGAUGUGUUUUAAGUAAAAUUUAAUUGGAGAUUUAAACGCCGCAAAAAAAAUAGUUUAACCAAUCUCACCCCUCCGUUUCCCUUUUCAAUAAAGAAAUUAUCCAACAGCAGCGUCUCCAAGCUCUUAUCGAAGGUGCCCACGAUUACUCUGGCUCCGCUGUACUUGGAUGGGGCGAUGGGUAUUACACGGGUGAAGAAGAUAAAGGGAAAAGGAAGCUGAAAACUUUGUCUGCAGUUGUGGAGUAAUUCCUUGUGGAAAGAAGGAAUUUCUUGCAGAACUUCAUCCAAUAUUCUAUGCACAGUAAGUUAGGUUUUAUGUGUUUGUUGUUUUUAUUAAUUAGCACUAGCAAUCAAUGUAUUUUUUGUUCUUUAGCGUUGUUGUUGUUGCCAUAACAGUUUGCUACUUCGUUUCUAUUCGCAUUCCCACUCCCACUCCCACUCCCACAUACUCAUUUUGAUGAAAGAUUGACGAACCCACCCGCAAAUUAGUUAUUCUCGUGCUCUCUGUUUUCUCUUAGGUUUUUUUGUUGAUGAUAAUUUGUUCAAGGCAAACAAGGAACGAGCAGCUGGAAUUGCAAAAAGCAACAAUGAUAUAAUAGGACAUGUAAAUAAUGGAAGUAGCACAUCCACAAUAGAUGGUUUAGCCAAUGAAGAUGCAAAUCUAAUGAUUAAACUGAAGUUUCUUACAUAUAAGGUAUACUUUAUGAAUCUCUUCAUUAGAUAAGCUUCACUUUAAUUAUUAAAGGGAUAGGGGGUUAUGAUUUGGCCUUCUGCUAUAUUAUUUGUGUGAGAGAUGAAUUGCCAAGGGAUGACCAUUUGUUUCAAGAAAGUUUCAUUUAUUACUUGGUUUUAAUUUUACAGUUCUCCCAAUUAGUAAUUUUCAUAUGAUAUUCCUUGAGAGUCUGAUUUUCAUCCUGCUUUGCCCUUACCAGUUGAGAACAUUUCUGAUCCACAAUGGGUUGUCGAUUCUUUUCAAGGAUGGUCCAGCUGCUUACAGGGCUUACUAUCUUAGGUAAGGUUUGAAAGGAAAGUUAAAUAGUGUGAUGCUAUACUAUUUAGUGAAAGUAAGUAGCAAAAAAUUGGGGGGAGUUGUAUAAUGGUACGUAGGAGGCAUUGGUUCUUGGUUUUAGAUGGUAAUCAUGCUCAGAUGUUGAGGCAUCUCUCUCUCACAGUCUCAUUCUCCCAUGUUAAGCAUUAACUUUCUGGCCUCCUCUCUAAUUUCUAACAUGUUAUGAACUGUUCGUUCUUUCUGGUGAUAUACAUACACAUAUAAGCUACAAAGUUUUUCCUCUCAUGAUGUUUUCAUUUUUGAAUCCUCAUGUAAAUCCAUAAAAUCUGUGUAGUGGACUUCAGUUAAGCUCAUUUAUGGAAAAUUUAUCCCUUUCUGGUAUUUAGGCAAAUGAAGAUUUGGGGCACUUUAGCAGGAAAGCAGAGAAAACUCAGCAAGAACCUCAAGUAAAUAAUGUUGUCUUUUUAAAGUCAUUCUUUGUUUUGUCUUUGUUCAAUUUCUUUGUUUUUCAGUUUGACGUCGUUUGGUGGAGCGCGUUUGAUUUACCUUUUAAGCCGCUACAUAAAAGAUUCAUUAACCCAUACAAAACCUGACUCGUUUCUCCUCUUCCUCUGAACGCCGGCCUCUCAAACUCCAACCAAGGAAGCACCAAACAUUUAUUUGGUAAACUUUUUAUUCAUUUGUUAAGACUUCUGCUUGCUUUUGUUAUCUGGGUUUCUACGGUUCAAUAAUAUAUGUAAGAUUUUCUGAUUUUCAUAAAUUUUCUGGGUUUUUCCUUGUAUUAGCAGAAAGUUUAAGGUGGUGAACUUGAGCUUGUUUAUGCUGUUAUCUUUCUGUUUGUGAUGGCAUUUUAUAAUUUCAUAUCCAAUUUUUAUAAAGCAAGUUUGAGAUGAUGGUACGCCUGAGUUUCUUGACAUUUUUUUCCCGUUGCUGGACAUCCAGUUGUGAAGGCUCACUUCUGGCAUCUGGAUCUGCGAAUUGCACCAUAAAAUUGUGGGAUGUAACAAGCACAAGGUCCCAAGGAAUGAAGAAAAGUAGGUUUCACAAGUGAAGAAAUUUGGCUGUAUGAUAUAAUAUAUAAUGUCUCAUAUGGUAUGGAAUCAUCUGGUAAUUUUUAUUAAUAUGGUAAAAUAGGUGAAUCAACAGGAGUGGGACGAAUCCAAACAGGCUGAGAUCAUUGAAAACCCUUGCAACCAAGUCUACUUCUGUGUAUAGUUUACAGGUAAUUCUUUUCUUCUGAAUCAGAUGCGUAUAUAUUUCCACUUUUUAUGCAACUUCUGAGGUUGGUCUGUAUUGUCUGUCUGAUAAUUUAUGUAUAUAUAUUUGUUCAACUUUAUGUUUGGAUUAGUUUUCUAGAAGGAACCUACUAUUUGCAGCUGGGAUGCUCUCUAAGAACACGUAAUCAGUAAAACUUCUCCCAUGACCACCAUUUUGAUGUUUGGGUGCUGUUAGGUACCAUAUACUUGCACAGAAGAAGCAAGAUGCUGCUAACUAGCUUUUUUUGAUGUAUUGACAUAAACCUUCUCCUUCUGUGUCUUAAAUAUAUUUAUCGUUCUUUUAUAAUUAUUGUAUAUGUAUUAAUAGAAGGUCCAUUUUGAUGCAAAGUAGUCCAUCUCAUUGUUGUUUAUCACGAAACUAGGUUAAUUCGGGCAAUUAGAAAAGGAAAUUUUAUGCUCAUAGACAUACAUAUAUUUUAAAGUUCUUUCAAUCAAUUUGCUGCUUCUCAGCACUUCUUUCCCCUGACAGCUUUUCUUAUAUGCAGGGAUGUCUUUUCUAGCAUUCAGUCAGAGACUAUCAUGUAAAAGUCAUGCAGGGCUUUCUCUUUUGGAGACGGUAUGAUAUUGAUCGAUUUCCUUAAUGAUAUUUAUUUUGCCAAGGCUUUUUAUCAUUUUUCUGUUAUUGUUUUAUUUUAAACCAUUAUUAAUACAUGGGUGUUUUCUUUUGGUUCUAUCACUGGAGGUGAGCAAAUGAUCUCUGUCUCUGUCUCUUUAAACGGAAGCCGAAUCUGAAGUAUUUUUAUGGCCUUCCCUUUGCUUCAGAAUUAGUAAUUGAAAGACAGGAUACCUCUAUUUGCAAUUCAGUUUUUUUUUUUUAAAUUUAAGAUGGUUUCUUUACAAGUAAAAUAUGACCUGGUUUCAUAUGUGUGAAUGCUUAUAUCUAUCUUUUGGACUUUACACUUAACUGUCCUAUCUGUAUUCUACUUUGAUUUGACAUAAUUUAAUUUAAUUGUUAUCUGUUAGUUCAAUCAGUUAGUAUUGUUGACUCUAUCAAAAUGCUGAUUUGAAUUUUAUUAUUAGAAUUUAUAUAUUUUAAAAAUAUAAUUUUUUGCAUUUUAACCAUAAUAGUUAAUAUUGUUAAUUGACUAUUGAAUUAAUUGAUUAAAUUAUAUCAAAUUAGUUGAAUGAGCUCUUUGUCAUAAUUAUUAUUGUUAAUUUGAUGUUUGGAUGUUCCAUUUUUGGAUGUACCAUUUUUGUUCAUCCGAGAAGAAAGGGUAAAAGGAUACUAUUUCUUAGGUUGCUUUAAUUUUUUUCUUUUCCCUUCUUUUUCUCCUACUUGUUGCAUGUGCAGGCACAUGAAACCACUAAAACUCCAUCUCACUUGAAACUUUUUUUUCUAUUUUUCAAGGAACAUCGACACCUGCGUUUCAGUUCUCAGCACAUAGUUGUUGGAUUCCAGCUUGCAAGUGGCACAAUACGUCUCCUCUUCAUUUACUUUCUUCAUCUUAUGAUAGGAAAGUAAUGUUGUGGGAUCUAAGAACAGCGGUAUCGUUUUGUAUUUUUGCAUUCUCAUAAUUUAACUGUAUAUUGUUUUUCUGGAUAUCGUUUUGAUGAUUACUUUUGUGUGGCAAUAGCUCUUUUAUGUUUUGACUGGUGGCAAAUGGAACAGGAAAAACCAACUACACUAGAUUGCGGUCCAAGAACAAUUUGCAGGAGGCACAUAAUGACUAGCUCCUACCUCUACGAAUGCUUGUGGGAGGCAUUGCAGCAGCGAAUAAGGAUGAUAACAUGCAAUUGACACCGUAUGUGCUAUGAAUCCGAAUUCAGGUGUGACUUUUAGAUAUUUUAUGUGCAAAAAAGUAUUAGAAUGUCUUAUGUUUGUAUGUUAGUUAAGCAGAUUAUAGAUAGAACCUGCAGUAGGAUCAACUAAUUAGUUGAUCAAAAGCUACACCCAAUUUUGUAAUCGUCUACUUGCAUAUUUGCAUAUACUUAAUAAUAAUCUCGUGUCAACUAAUUAUUCUAAUUUUUUAUUUAAUUGUUUUGUUUCAACAUUUUAUUUUUAUUUGAGUUGAAAGAAGAAAAACACAAAUUGCAAUUUUGACUUAGUUAAUCAAUUUAAAUAAUCAAUGUUGAUAUUUCACAUGGGAAUUAAGUCCUUAUUUCAUUUAAGAAACUUCAUUAUAAUAUUUUAUUUUAUUGAUAUCUUUAUAUUUAAUCUAAUUUUUAUUAUUUAUUUUAGUUUUGAUUCUAAAUUUUUAUUUUUAUUUUAAUAUUUAAGAUAACUUGAGUUCUAACUUUUGGAUUUUAAUUGUGUUAUUAAUUUAUUAUUUUAAAUUCUAAAUUUAAAUUCAUUAAUUUUUGUAUUUAGUUUUAAAGUUAAAAUUUUAAUAGAAAAUUUAAUUUGAUAAUGAAUUUUAAAUUUUAUAUAUUUUUCAUGACCUUUAUAAUAUUUUUUUUGAAUUUCAUGACUUUUAGCGGCGUUUUUAAGAAAAGCGCCGCUAAAGAUCGUGAUCUUUAGCGGAGUUUGUAGGAAAAGCGCCGCUAAAGGUCAUGAUCUUUAACGGCGUUUUUUUCAAAUAAACGCCGCGAACUUUAGUGGCGCCGUCUAUAGCGGCGUUUUUUGCGGCGCUUUUAAUUUUAGUUAAAAAACGCCGCUAAAAGUUAAUUUUACUGCAGUGUGUUAUCGAGGUUCGAAGUUUCUUAGGCAGAGUCCUUCAUUGUUAUACUUUUAACGAAACUACUUCAGAAAAAUGUGUUAUUUGAAUGGAUUAAUGAAAGACAGAAAAGUUUUGAGCAACUUAAGGCAAUUUUGACUAAGGUACCUGUAUUGACUCAAUCAGAGCCCAGGAAAGAUUUUUUGGUUUACAAUGAUACUUCAUACUCAUGACUCGAUUGUGUUGAUGCAUGAAGGCGAAACUAUGGCUUAUGUCUUGAGACAAUUGAAGACGCAUGAGUGAAAUUUUUCAACCCACGACUUAGAGUUAGCUGCUUUGGUAUUUGCGAUGAAGAUUUGGUGUCAUCAUUUGUACGGUGAGAAAUGUGUUAUCUAUACAAAUUAUAAAAUCCUUAGGUAUCUUCUCACCCAAAAAGAGUUGAAUUUAAGGCAAAUGAGAUGGAUUAAACUUUUAAAGGAUUAUAAUUGUGUGAUAGAGUAUCAUCUCGACAAGGCGAAUGUAGCUGUAGACGCUUUGAGUAGGAAGUCGAUGAUAGAAUUGCGAGCUAUGUUUGCAUACUUGAGUAUAACCAAUGAUGAUGGGUAGUUUGCUGAACUUCAAGUGAAGCCAACUUUGUCUUAGCAGAUUAAGGAGAAACAACCGUUAGAUAAGAAAUUGAUAAAGAGGAUUCGACAGGUUGAACAAUGCGUAAAGGGAGAUUUUGAUGUUAACACAGAUGGUAUAUUGAAUUUUCAAGGAAGAUUGUGUGUAUCGCAUGACGUGGACUUGAUACAGUAACCCCUACACUAUGUAUCCCGGUAGUGGUAAAAUGUACCAUGAUCUACAAGAGUUGUAUUAGUGGUUUGGUUUGAAACAUGAUGUAACAGAUUUUGUGACUCAGUGUUUAGUUUGUUAGAACGUGAAAGUAGAAUAUCAGUGCCCUUUAGGUUUGUUGCAACUGAUUACAAUUCCUGAAUGGAAAUGAGAAAGGAUCACCAUGGACUUGUUGUAUAGAGUUUAGUUUGCCUUUGACCCUAGCGAAGAAGGAUUCUAUAUGGGUAUUUGUUGAUCAAAUUUUUAAGAGUGCGUAUUUCUUGGUUGUGCAUACUAACUAUUCUUUACAAAAGUUGGCAUAGUUGUAUAUAAAUGAGAUUGUAUGUCUCCAUGGAGUUCCAGUUUCUAUUACUUCGGAUAAGAAUCCACGUUUUACUUGUAGGUUCUAGAAGAGUUUGCAAGAGGCUUUAGGGUUGAGGCUUAGUUUCAAUAUGGCUUAUCACUCCCAAAUAGAUGGUCAGUCAGAAAAGGUAAUUCAAGUCUUAAAGGAUAUGUUUCGUAGCUAUGUGAUUAAGUUCAGUGAUAGUUGGGAGCGAUACUUGCCCUUAGUGAAAUUUGCCUAUACCAACAACUUUCAGACGAGUAUUCAAAUGGUACCUUUGAAGCAUUGUAUGGUAGGAAGUGUAUGACUCCCUUGUGUCGGAUGGACUUGGAUGAAAAGUGGGUUGCUGGACCAGAUUUGUUUCGAGAGACUGAAGAGAAGGUGAGAUUGAUCUGUGAAAGGUUGAAAGUAGCAUCAAAUAAGAAAAAAGUAUUAUGCGGAUUUGAAACGUCAUGAUAUCGAGUUUCAAGUUGGCAAUAAGGUAUUUUUGAAGGUUUCACCCUGAAAGAAGGUUCUGAGAUUUGGACAGAAGGGUAAGUUGAGUCUGAGAUAUGUUGGACCUUACGAAGUUAUUGAGAGAAUUGGUUCGGUAGCUUAUCGACUCAAGUUGCCGCCAAAGCUUAAGCAAAUCCAUGACGUCUUACAUGUGUCCAUGUUAUGUAAGUAUCAUUCUGACCUAUCGUAAAUCGUGCAAGUAGAGGAGAUUGAGGUUCGAUAUGACCUCACUUAUAAGGAAAAGUUGUUUGAGAUUUUGGCUCGCAAAGAGAAGGUUUUUCGAAAAAAGAGAGUUCUAUUGGUUAAAGUUUUGUGGCAUAACCACAAAACUGAGAAAGCUACUUGAGAAGCCGAAGAUGUGAUGAAGCGAUGAUAUCCUUAUUUGUUUAGUUCAAGUAAAUUUUGAGGACGAAGAAGCCGAAGAUGCGAUGAAGCGAAAAUAUCCCUAUUUGUUUAGUUCAAGUAAAUUUCGAGGACGAAAUUCUUUUUAGAGGGGCAGAGUUGUUACACCCCAAAAUUAGGUCUAGGUGUUUUAAGUGUAGUUUUAAAAUUAUGGCCUGAAAUGGGGUUCAGAAUUCAAAAUAUGCAACCUGAAAAUAUCUUCGUCUAUGACCUUUGAAAAUUAAAUCAAUUUAUGAAAAUAGUGUGAAAAUGACUUUCAAUUUUAAAAGAGGACUAUUUUUUAGAAGGGUUUUAUUUAAGAGUAGCUUUAAAGAAAUUAUACGAAGUUUUAAAAUCAACCCAUUUUCCCUCAUUUCACCCUACUUUUGAUGUAAAAAAAAAAAGAGAAACACCCUUCACCCUUUUUCUUAAUGCCGUCCAUUAGAGAGAAAAAUCUCUAAACAUCAUCGUUUAAUCUUUGGUCUUCAUUACUCCAAUCCCUUAUUUUCUAUCAUCCUUCAAACAUUAAAACCCCUUUGAAUUCAGAGAAAUAACAACAAGAACACCAUUAAUUUCGUUAAUUUUUCUCCAAGUGAGUUUUCCCAGAUUUUCAAUCAAUCGUUCAGUUUUUUCCUCAAUGAAGGUAAUGUUUUGUUUUCCAAAUAGUUUUUGAUGUAGUCUAGUCAUUCGAAUCAAAUUCUAAUCUAUUGAAUCAAGGAUUUUGUGUAGUAGUCAAAAAUUAGAGUCGUUAAUGGAUAAAUUUGAGACUGUAGACGAAAAUACUAUUUCUAAGAGUUUUUCAAUUUUUUUAUGUUAUUAUAAGGUUUUUAAACUUGCCUUAAAGUUUUGUUAAAAGAUUUGAAGGUUUUGUUGAGUUUUCAUAAAAAUGGCCAUAGAUGUCGAAAUUUUUGGAACCAUUAAUUUGAGGAGUUUUGAGUGUCUUGAGGGUUGAGAAUUAUUAUUGGAUGAAUAAUUAGAUGUUUAGAAUCAGCUUUAAAUGAUAGGUUUGAAUGUGAAUUAAGGAAUUUGAGUUUCAACUAUGCUAGUUGAAAAUUUUAGUUCCAUGAGGAACUAGGCUCAAACCUGCAUUUUUGUUUGUUUAAAGUAUGUUAUGGAUGCUAAUUAAUUGUGUACAUUGUGUUGUUAAUAUGUGUGAAGCUUCAAAAUCAUUUGGAUCUUCUUCUAGUGAGGCGAAAGGCAAGAAAAAGUUAGUUUAAGUUUUCGAAAAAUAGGUAAAAGCGUAAACGGUGAGUGUUUUGAAAUCACUGCUUGUAAACACGAUUCAUAGUGUAAAAUGGGAGCUUAGGAGUAGCCUAAAUCCCUAUCCUAAGUACCAAGUAUAAGCUUUCUUACUCUUUUUGUGUACUUUGCAAUAUUGUGGAGAUGUGAUUGUGUUAAUAUGUAUUAUGGAAUUUCUGUUUCAUGCAUUUAUAUGUGACUUAUUGUGGUUAUAGCUCAUUGAGUUAUAUGUUAGCACUUGUAAGUGCAGCAAUAGAGGGCAUGGUAAGCAUGCUAAGUGAUUGUGAUAUUGUUGUGUGUAUAAUAUAAAUGAAUAGUGAAAAUAUGCAGAAAGCGGUAAGUAAAUAUGUGUAUAAUUGUGGAUACUUAGGCCUUGUGACCUUUUGGGACUGUUGGAUAUAGUUGGCAUGCCAUAGGAUUUUGUGAGUACUCGCCCUUGUGUUACGAUUUAGGGCAUUGAGGCCUAGGACAGUUUUGGAGAGAUAAGGGAAUGUGAGUUAAGCUCCAUUUGUCGAGAUAUGUUGGUGUGUUAGAGAGUGUUAGCUUGAGGCUACACUUAUGAGAUAUGUUCGACUCCGAGUCAUUGAUGUGUAGGAGAUUCGUGUAUCUAAUGUGUGGUGAUAGAGUCUACUUUUAUAUUUUAUAGUCUCAAGUUGCCAAAUUAUCAAUUAAUGAAUUAUUUAUGAAAUAUGUUGUAUGUAUAAGUAUGUGAGUUCAUAGUUAGAUGUAUUUGUAAGCAAUGCAUGAUUAAGUUAGUUUGACAUUAUAGUUGUGUACUUUUGUAUUUUUGCUUUAGUUGCUUUCGUUUACUGUAUGAUAUUGUGUAUAUUUGUGGUAAAUUUUGAUCCAUUCACUGAGCUUGUUAAGCUCGCACACUCCUUUCUAAACCAUUGUAGAUAGUUAACAUUUCCAGUAUGAGUUGUACGGUCCCAAGGAAGUGAUCCAAGUUAGGUUAUAGUAAUUUGAGUAGGUGAUAUUAUUACCAUUCUUUUGGCCUGUGAAAAUAAAGGUAAUGUGGCUAGAUUUUUGGCUGGUUUUUAAUAUGUCCUUAACGGUUUAUUAUGAUUUCAGUCUUAUAGAAUUUUGAUGGAUAUUAAUAUUGUUUUAUUGAUUUUAGUCUUAGCAUGAAACUCACGUCACAAAAUUCAAACCUAAGCUUACUAGCUACAUUUUUACAUUUUUCCAUACAUACUUGAGUUCCAGAAAGCAAACAUAGAUUCGUGUGAUAUAGUCGGGUUAAUUAACACCUUAAAAUUUUUUGUGUCGUAAUUCAUGUUGUGUUGGGAUAAAGCUAAUUAAGUUCCCGAGAGUGAGACCCUAUCAAUCAUAUUUAUUUUAAUUAAUUAAUAUAUGGCAUUAGAAAAUAUCAAAACUAAAUUGAGAUAUGACUUGUUAGUUAUUGAGUAAAUUAAGAGGAUUGGAAAAUAGAAAUAAUUGAUGGGAGAUAAAAGAAAUAAAAGGGAUUGAAUACAGAUAUUAUAGAGAUUAAGGGAAUCAUUUCCAUAAAUUUUAUGGUGUUAGUGAAUGAGAAUUAUUUCCACCAUUAGUUGCCACUAAAAGUAAAUAAAUUAAAAUCCUCACCGUUGGAUCAUGUUCAUAAAGCAUAAUUUAGUUAAGUCUUAAUUAUGUUCGUUAGAGAUAAAAAAUUUAAAAAAAAAAGAUCCCUUAGAUGAGCCACCAUUUGGCUAAUUAAGAUCAUUUCCAUAAAUUUAAUUUAAGUGGAGUUAUUUAAGAAAUCACUAAUGAAGAAACUAAGUAAUGUGAAGUUAGAGAGAAGGCUCAUUAUCUCUUUCAUUCGAAAGAGAGCAAAGAAGAAGCUUGUUAAACCCUCAAAAACAUGAGUCUCUCCCUUUUGGAUUAGAUGGAUUUAAUAGUUUAUUUAAGAAUUAACUGUGAAUUAUCCUGUAUGCCCAUGUUAUAAAGACUCUAAUUGUAAAGACAGGUGAAGAUGAGGUGAAGGCUUGAAGAGCCUUUUGAAUGAGUGGAGAGAUGAGAAAUGACUCCACCUUUAUAAUAUUUUCAAAUUAAGUUAUAUAUGUGAAAAUAGUUACAUUCUAAAUUAUAUCUUUUUGGUUUUGGGGUGGUGGUUAUAUAAUUUUUGAAGCUAAAGGUAGAGAGAAAGAAGAAGUGAAUUCAAUAAAAAAGGAAAUUUUUGCACCCUUUUUGAUGUAUUCAAAUAAGAGGAAUUAAGGCAAGGUUCCUUAAUUUAAAUUUGUAGUAAUGGUUGUUAAGUGAUACAUUUAAAUAUUUCAUGUGUUGGAAUUAAUGGUAAUAUUGAAUAGGUACAUUGUAGCAUUGAUAAAGAGGAAGGAUUGAAUUAGUGAAAAGCUAAGUUGGUGGGUACCUUGGAGUGAAAAUUUACUAUUUGGAAGUUAAGCUAAAGUGUUCCAUGAAUCCUUGCUUACACUGAAUGUUUAUGAGUGUGUAUUUAAUUAGCACUGGUAAGUUAAGUAUUAUUACUUUAUCGAUCUUGUUAUUGACUUUGCUUAUGAUAUCUAGCCAUGGUAAUCGAAACUUUAGUAAGCCUAAUCAAUGUGAGGUAAGUUUCAAGGUAAGUAAAUUAUUAUGCUUUGAUUUGACUUGCAUUAUUAUUUUACAUGGGUAAGCAUUUUAUUGCAACAUAUUUACUAUUAUUUCAUUUAAAAGUGAGAAAAUACAAUGUUUAUUUUCAUGAAAAGUCAUUCAUCAUAAAGACGGAUGACCCGUAGUCACGUUUACUUUCAUCAACCAUGUAAUUCCAAUGAGGGGAUAUAAUUUACUCAUGUUUUGAGCUAUGAAUUUCACUAUUGUGAAUGACACUACAUACUACAAAAGUUAGGAUUUUACCAUGUAAUUCCUCUUCACCCAGCACAUUAGCUUUCGGUUCCUUAUCUAUUUGAACUCAGGAUUUUAUUUACAUCAAAAUGUACGAGUCACACAUACAUAGUUCGCAAUCCACUCAGGAUUUAGGUAUGCUACACUAUGAUCGUCAUAAGUGAAUAGAUCCAUAAAUGGAUUCAGGAUCUAUUCUACUUGAGUCUUGUCCAGUGUACUAUCAGUCCAGUCAGUUACAUCUAUAUCUCUAUCUUCUAAGAGUCAUCCGCUCCAAUGCUUAAGACAAAAUAUCUCCCCAAUUUGACUUGAUAGAAAAUAUAUUAGAUUUUCAAUCAAUUGACUCAUUUCCAAUUAGACUAAGGACAUGUUUAGUUUCGUCUACUAAUACAAGUUGUCUUUCUGUACUAUGAUCUGACCACAUAAUACCUCUUAAUAUUAGUUACACAUCAGACAACCAAUAAGAAACAUUUGCUUCCCUUUUUCUUUGUGUGUAAAAACUAUGUGAGAAUAAUAUACAAAGUAUUAAUGUAAUUGAUGAAUAAUUUUAUUAACUAGUGAUAAGGAAUUGAAGUGAAGGAAGCAGAAGAAGCAUCGAAUUUAAAUUGUUUGACUCAAAAAAGAAAGAUCUAGAUUUGACCUGAAAGAAGAAAUAAAAAAAUUUAGAAAUUAAAGAAAUCGAAGAAAUAGAAAUUUAAAAAAACAAAGUGGAAGAUGGAUCGAAUAAAUUGAUAGAUGUGAUGAAUAUUUGGAUAAGUGUCCAAUUGAGCCCUUUGAGAUAUAAAUCCCAACAAACUUAGUUAAUGUGUAACACCCCAAACUCGACCUAGAAGCUAUAGUUGAAUCUCAGAAGUUACAUUAACGACGCUCGAAAUUAUUUGCUCAUUGAAAAUAACUAGGUUUGAGUUGUUUUGAGAAAACUUAAAAUUUUAAAUGUCGACUAAUUUUAGCUAAAAUUGAUGUUGUUAAUGGUGGAAUAUGGAUUCUUGAAUUAAUCUGUUAUUUUAAAGAAUUUUCCAACCUGUUCUGAAGAGAUUAAAAGUUAAGAACUGAUAGCAAGCUAUAAGAACUUAUAGUACUGGUGAACUCAUUGUGUGACAUAUGUUUUGUAUAUGCUAUGUGGUUCUUCGGGACAAUCACUAAGCUUGUAAGAGCUCACAUACUCUUUACUAAACAUUGCAGAUAGACAGAUUGCAUGAUGUGUAGCAGAGAAGCGAGUGAUCUAGACAAGGCAUAAAUACUAAGUAUGUGUUACAAAUGAACUCUAGACUUAUGGGAAAUGUGGGAGUCCGCUUGGGCUUAGAGAUAUCUUCCUAUCUGAUUGACCUCGUUGAUUGCUCUAAAGACUUAGAUAUUUACAUUAUAUUUAUUCCAAAGCUUGCAAACUGAUAAAACAUUAUAUAUAUAUACCUGAAUGUUAAGUAUUUUAAUUCUUCAUCAAAAUAGUACACGUGUUUUGUACGAGGCGAUUAAGUUGAUCUCGGCUUUCAAUUGAAUAACAUUCUCUGUUAUCCUCGGACCACGUAUUACCUUGAGCAUGGACUCGAGCAAGACAAAACAGAAUUGUAGAAUGAAAACUUUUAGUUAACUUUCAAUAGGAAAGUUGAUUUGUCUUUGUAAUCAGUAACUACGCGUUUUUAUCAAAAAAAUAGAAUUUAUUCUAUGAAAUAAAUUUUCCCUACAUCAAAAAAUAGAAUUUAUUCUAUGAAAUAAAUUUUCCCUACUUUUUGGCAGAAUAAUGACGUCUAUUAAAUGUUGUAAAAAACUUAACACAUAAUUUUUAUUUAUAGAGAAUUGGUACAAGAGUUAUGUUCGAAUAAGGCUUGAUUAAAUAAUAAUAUUUAGUAGAAAAUAUAAAUUCUACUCCAAUUAGGUGUAUAGGAGGCAACAACAUGCCGUAGUAAAUACUAGGGUAUGUGAAUAGUGGUACAUGUGAUAUAUUUAUCUUAUUUUGUCAUUUUCUUUCGUUCCAUAUCUUUGGUUCAACAUACAAUUUAUUUUUAAUUAUUUCGAGCUAGUAGAUGGAUCAAUUAAACAUAUAUAAUUAGAACUUAAAUAAUUUAUAAUUAUAAUAUUAUUUAAUCAUAAAAUCAUUUCAAUAAAAUAAAAUGACCGAAAUCUCUCUUAUUAUGUCCUUUACGAAAAUUACUCAUCACGUAAGAAAUCUUUUAACAACUUUUUUUACCCUUUAAAAAUCGGGUGAUGCAUACCACUAACCGACUAUAAUGUACGUAUGGACAAAUAAAUUCGACAUUUUAUGUCUGUUUUUAAUUUUACAUAUCAUAAUAUUUUAUCCAGAAUAUAAUAUUAAUAAAUUAUAUUUCUUAAUUUGAUAAUUUUGUUUUCUAAGUUAAUUUAAUAAUAUUCUAUAUUUCUAUUAUUAUGUUUAUACUAAUUAUUUAUUUAAUAUAAUAUCUUUUAAUUAUUUUUAAUUAUGUUCAUAAAAAUAAAAGUAAAAAGCUAAAAUAGGAAGAAGAUUUGUUUUUUUAUAAUUGGAAGAAGAAAAUGCUCAAUCUUUUAUCCUUACAGCAUAUUACUUUUCUUAUUACACAAGAAGUUGCCAAAAUAGCUAGAAUACUUGAGAGAGUUGAAAAUUGAAGGAUGAAAACAGUUGAAUUAGCAAAGCACUUACGUAAGCAGGUAUCAUUGAACCAAGCUAGAUACAUUGAACCUGGACACUUUGCGUCGGAGGGUCCUAGGCCUUUAAGAGAAUCGAUUCCUCCACAUUGGUUGAUUCACAACUCCACUAGAAGAAAAAACAAAAACAGCAAGCUAUCACAAGGCUCCAACAAUGGCGGCACCAGAAGAAGAGCUGAGGAAGAGGAACCAGGAGUUAGAGAAGGAAUUGAAGGAGAGUAGGGAAAGAGAGGAGCAUAUGAGAAAGGAAUUAAGAAAGGUGUGGGAAAGGCUGAGGGUGGCGGAAGAGGCGGAGGAAAGGCUCUGUUCUCAGCUGGGCGAGUUGGAAGCAGAGUCCGUCAAUCAGGCCCGUGCUUACAACUCCCACAUACUUACCCUCAUGGACCAGCUCUCCAAGGGUAACAACCUUCUCAUCAACAACCACCCAUCCCCUGCACCCAUCUCCAUCCUCUGAUUUUGCUUUUGGCUGAUGUUCUUUUUAUCUAUCCAACCAAAGACAUGGGGCUUCUAAAGUCGUUAAUUUUGGGUAUUGUAUGGAUGUAUAUAUGUAUUAGUUAUUAACACUUGGUGGUGUUUGUUGAUGUUAAUUGGUAAAGGUAGUGCUGAUAUGUUUCACUGGCUGUUUCAUAUUGUGAAACUCAAUUGACUUAAUUCUGAUGUAUAAAAAACAAAUGUGUUUUUUUCUUCUUCAAAUAUAUUAAAAAUAGUUUGGUAAAAUGAAAAGGAGAGCUGAUGGGUAGCCUAAUUUUUCAAUUUUCUCUUUUUAAAUUUUCAUUUAUCUACCAUUUCAAUCUCUUUUU